ACAGAUGAAAGUUUGAAUUCACAAACACCGAAGAAUUAUAAAAUUUUGAAAGACAAGAAAAAGAAAAAACUGUUUCAACAAAGGUAACAUGCCGAGAAAUAAAGGUUUUACUAGUGCUCGGGUAGCGGCAGCAAAAACCUUUAUGCCUAUUAGACAGUCCUAAGAAUACACAAGGAAGGGAUCGGUGAGAGAGCUUAUGAUCAGCAACAUUCUACAGGUUGGGAUAAUACAAACAUCUAAAUAUCUUAACAAGUUGCAAGUCAAAAGGGCAUAAAACCAUGCAAAAUAUUGUAUGGAGAUUUUUCUUUUAAAACAGUAAGUGAACGAGUGCAACUGACAAGAAAAAUAGCAGUUUGAAAAGCGUCAACCCAAAAACGAGGAGGCAUGGAAGCUUGACGAAGCAAACUUCUAAUGAUGUUAGCUAAGUGUCUAUGUUUCCUCUCUGUUACACCAUUUUGUUGUGGUGUAUGAGUACAAUGAAACCUAUGAAUAAUCCCAUUCUGUGAGAAUAAAGUAGAAAAUUUUUCAUUCACAUACUCCGUAUAAUUUUCAGAUUGAAAAGUUUUGAUUUUUCGAUGAAAAAUAUUUUCAACUAUGUCCUUGAACUCUAAAAAUUUUUCAAAAUCCUCAUAUUUAAAUUUUAAAAGAUAAAACCAAGAAAAUCGAAAAUAAUUAUCCACAAAGAUUACAUAGUAUUUAGAGCUAGAGACUGAAGGAACACUAGACUGUCAUACAUCAGAAUGAACAAGGUGAAAAGGAAAAGCAAAUUUUGAUUCAAAAUCGGUAAAAGAUAGUUUGAUAUGUUUUUCCAUAUGAUAGGCAUUGCAAAUAGAUUAAUUUAUUUCAGAACUACUAUCAGAAAUAACAUUAUUUUCUUUAAUAAACUUUGAAAGAACAGGUAAACCAGGGUGACCUAAACAUCUAUACAGAAUAUCUCCACUAAAUCUAGAUCCAAUUAUGAGUGGUCCUGAUGCACAACCAUACAUUUAAAACACUAAUUGAUUGUCGUUGUUGUUUGUUGCAUGCUCCUCGGUAGUUUGUAGUGCCACCAUUACACCGUUAUUGGCAAGUCAGGGAGUUCUCAAUUGCUCGAAUCUUUUCCUAGACAGGGCACCACGUAUGAAUUGCCCGAGACUCUUCCUACUCUAGGUAGGUGGUUGGGUUAGUCAUUGACUCAUCGAUACACUCGAUGCAUAAGUAGAAUCUCGCAUAUUGUACAUCAACUCUAGUUGUAAACACAAUCUCACAGAUAUAUCACAUUGUUGUUGCUUCCCAAUUAUUUACCUUAUUAAAUCAUUACUAUUCUCUUACCGACCGGUUGAGAAAAACUUGCCUUCAUCAGCUUACUGUACCCACUGGAAAACUUCAUAGUUUCUUAUUCCUGUUUAUAGGAUGCGUUGGACCAGGCGGAACACGAUGUGGAGUGAGGACGCAUAUUGGACUGCGUAGUAUAGAUAGUUAUGCCUAUGUAUUUUGGAACGUGGACAAAUGUAUUAUUUUGGAAAGAUGACAGUCGUAGGAAUACUAAGUGGAUUCUAUGUGUUCGAAAAUCUCAUUCCGUUUUGUAAAUGUUAAAGUAUUUUGAAAAAUUGAAAUUAAUGAUUUUUGGUUUACUUCCACAUUGUAAGCAGGUGUUUUGUACUUCGAUGUCCUACGCGUACAAAUAUUCAAUCCAUGUGGCGGGUCUGUGCGUCUGUCCAGUUGAGUUUCCGUGCCAGGAGUGACAAAGAUAACUAUAUGACACUGUGGUCUCUUGACUGCACAAUAUAUACAUAUAUAUAUAUAUAUAUGUACAUAUAUAUAUAUAUAUAUAGAGAGAGAGAGAGAGAGUGUUAGAGCUGAAAUGCUAUCGGUAGCAAACGGGCUCCGUUGCCACCCAUUUGUUUUCGAUGAUGGAGCCUCCAAAUCGACGAUCGGCACUGUUGAACACGAUCUAUUCCACUUGAAGCAUCUAGUAACCAAAUUUUAUGCUUUUUUAUAUUGUUCUCUUAUCCAUCAAGUGGACACAAAAUGAACGGCUAAAAAUGAAUAUUCUUUAAAAAGUGAUGAUAGGAAUCUUGUAAUUAAGAUCAAGAGUAUAAAUCUUGUUCUAAAUAGUUUAAAGAAUUUUCUAACUAAAAUUGAAAUGCUUCGUUAAAUAAUCACAUAAAAAGAGAUACGGUUUGAGUAAAUUGACCAGUACAAAUUUAUUAAAUUUUAAAUUUAAUCGAUAUAUAUAUAUAUCUCUCUCUCUCUCUCUCUCUCUCUCUCUAUCUCAACUCGAUCUUAUGAUAGCCAUCGUUUGCCCGAGGCAACGGUGGGUAAACAAAAGCUACUACCUCGGAGGUUUAGCUGCUAGCCGUGGCAACUUGUACUAGAUAUGGUGAACUUCAUAAAUCUUUGGUUUAAAGUUUAGAAAAACUGUAGUAACUGGAUUACUAGUUUCCCAAAGUUUUAAAUAUUAAAAUUACCAGCUAUACUCCGCAAAAGAGUAAAUUGCCACCUUUCUAUAGGUUUAACUAACNUAGCAUCGAGUCAUUGGUGCUAUUAGGUUUUCGGCCCUUCGAUGAAGGGAUGCGCGGUUAGGAUAAUAGUGGUCCCCUAGGGUUAAGUGGGUGGUUGGUUGAAUAGCAUGAUUUAACGGAUAAAAAUGGUCAAACGAGUAAAUCUACUGGUGGAAAACUUGGUAACAAAGUGCUUGGUGCUAUUAAAAGCGCCCCAGCCGGAAUCUAUGUAUAUAUAUAGAGAGAGAGAAAGAGAGAGAGAGAGAGUCCGGCUAUGAUGCUUGUAAAAGCACUAAGCACUUGGUGCUUAAAAGUUUUCCGUCAUUAGAUCUAGCUUUUUUACCAUUUCCAUAUGUUAGAUCAUACUAUGCAACCAACCACACACUCAUCCCUAAGGGACCACUAUCAUUCUAAUCGUACAUUCCUUAAUCCAAGGGCUGAAAACCUACAAGCACCAAUGACUUUGUACUUUUAAAUUAUAUGAGCUCAAUUCUAUAUAUAUAGAAUGAGGCAACUAUACUAUCUAGCAUCUAUAAUACCGGAGCUCUAAUACAAUAGUCUCGUUUUCGAUCUUAGGGUGUUCAAAGCAAUGAUCCACACCAUCAAAUUUGAUCUAGGAUAUAUGAAGUUCUUAGGAAUAAAACUUUAAUAUUUUUCAACAUCGUUUACUUAGUAAAUAAAUCAUGUCAAAAUGAACAGUGGAAAUUGAACAAUCUUUAAAAUUCGAGAGUAGGACUUUUGAAUUCAAAAUCAAGAAUGCUGCCCUUGAUCUAAAUAGUUUAAAUUAUUUUCUAUCAAAAUUUGAAUAAAUUUAGAUUUUUCUACUCCGUUAAACUACAAACUCGCCAUAGUAGCCAUUGAAAAUUGACAAGUUUGACUGAUUGUCCUUAGCGCAAGUGGCAAAGGGCUUGGUGGUUGGUACCCGAGGUCAAGGUUUGAAGUGCCCGUCGGCACGGACCGUAUCCACCGUGCCGUACCGUCCCAACAAGAUGCCGGCACGAUACAAACCCCGUGCCGAUGGCACAGCUCAAAACCCUCUAUUUUUUAAAUUAGUAAGUAAUUUCCUCAAUAAAGUUCAAAAGAUGUUAUCAAAAGACAUAAUAAAUAGUUAGAAUAUUUUGUUGCUAAAGAAAAUAAAUAUUUCAUGCUAUUAUGUGUCGGCACAUAAGAAUUUUUUUGACCGGCACGCAUCGGCACAGCUCGGCACGCACCGUGUUGUGCCUUGUCGGCAAGUUUCUGGGAUUCCGGCACUACCUCGUGCCACGGCACUUAAAUCCUUGCCCGAGGUCCCAAGUUCGAAUCCUAGUUGAUUCACAUUUCUAGCUAAGUUUAAAUGAAAUAAACAAAGCAGGUAGCAUGCUACCUAUCUCUCAAAAAAAAAAAAAGACAAGUUUGAAAUGGUUUGAUCAUAAAGUAAACUAUGUUGAAAAAAUAUAAAAUUUUAUUUCUAAAAAUUUCAAAUACCCUAGAUUAGUUUUAACGGUAUGGAUCGUUGAUUUGAACACCCUAAGAUCGAAAACGAGACUAUAGUACCGGAGGCCCGGUACUAUAGAUAGUAUAGGAGCCUGGCUCAUAUAUAUAUAUAUAUAUAUAUAUAUAGAGAGAGAGAGAGAGAGAGAGAGAGAGAAAGAGAGAGAGAGAGUUGAGCUAGAAAACUAUCGAUAUUAAACGAGCCCUGUUACUACCGAUUUGUUUUCGAUGAUAGAGCUUCCAAAUUGACGAUCGGCUNAGUGCCUCCAAAUCGACAAUCGGCACCGUUGAACAUGAUCUAUAUCACUUGAAGUGUUUAGAAAUCAAAUUUCAUACAUUUCCGAUAUUAUUCUCUUAUCCAUCGAGUAGACACAAAAAUGAACGGCUGAAAAUGAAUAUUCUUUAAAAAAUGAUGAUAGGAGUCUUGUAAUCAAGAUCAAGAGUAUAGAUCUUGUUUUAUAUAGUUUAAAAAAUUUUCUAACAAAAAAUCAAUUGGUUUAGAUAUCUUUAUGCCGUUAAACGAGAAAACGCCUCAUAUCGACCAUUAAAAUUACAAAUUUUGAAACCCUUUGAUCAUUAGGCAAAUGAUGUCGAAAAGAUUUGAAAUUUGAUUUCUAAACACUUCAACUAGUAGAGAUCAUGUUCAACGGUACCGAUCGUCGAUUUGGAGGCUCCAUCAUCGAAAACAAAUGGGUGGCAACGGAGCCCGUUUGCUAUCGAUAGUAUUCUAGCUCAACUGUAUAUAUAUAUAUACAUAUAGCCACCUUUUCAAACAUUGCUGACUAUUUUCUAUUCUACGGAAAGUGAUAAGCACAAUGCGCACAGAAAUUUAUCUUACCAACAAACCAUAUAAAUCACAAAAAUGAUAGAACUCAGGCCUCUCUGCCAAUCCACCACCCCAGCAGCGGAGCAUGUUAAAAUUCAUAUACGCAUGAAAUUUAAUAUCAGCCAUGUAUCGUUUCUUUGUAAGUCUUAGUAGUCCAUCUGACAAUAUCCAGUUCCCUCCACGAAUAAAAACACGUUGCCCAUUCACCUUGAAUAAUCUGCACAUCUGUAUGUUAGUUUCCAAUAUUUUUACAAGUAGAAGUUAUUAAUGUAUAAGCUUCUGGAAUGAAUUAUUACCUUCCACCAGUAGCUUCAUCGAUCGUGCUCUCAAUCUUGCGAAACCCAAAGUAGUGAUUCCAUGAAUCAGACUCUCCAACUCCUUUUACAUCAACUGUUAUAUUAACAUUGUAUAAAGAUUGCUUUCCCAUUCCAUUUGGCCACCAUAAAUUGGGCUUGUAGAAGAAGAGCUGCAUGUAGUUAUAAAUUACUACCACACUGAGCUAACAGCAACGGGAAAAACAAUGGACACAAUUUUCAGGAUAAGGUCAUCAAAUUUUAAAUAUGUGACAAGGAACUCUGCCCCAUUCACUUCAAUUCUCAGCAUAAGAUAGUUGCUUAAGUGCAAGAUCUCGAACUAGAAACCAAGGUUUUAAGUGCCCGUCGGCACGGGCCGUAUCCACCGUGCCGUACCGUGCCAACAAAAUACCGGCACGAUACAGACCCCGUGCCGAUGGCACAGCUCAAAACCCUCUAUUAUUUAAAUUAGUAAGUAAUUUCCUCAAUAAAGUUCAAGAGAUGUGAUAAAAAGACAUAAUAAAUAGUUAAGAUAUUUUGUUGCUAAAGAAAAUAAAUUUUUCAUGCUAUUAUGUGUCGGCACAUAAGAAUUUUUUUGACCGGUACGCAUCGGCACGGCUCGGCACGCACCGUGCCGUACCGUGCCGGCAAGUUUCCGGCACGACCUCGUGCCACGGCACUUAAAUCCUUGCUAGAAACCACCCAACAGGUAUCACUAGUCAUGGCCUAGUUUUUUUUUCACAAGACAGCCAACUAUUGUCUGGUGACACAUCAGAAGUUUGCACAAGAUCAGCUCAUGAAAAAGUUGGACAUAUUUAUUAAUGGACUAACAACUAUUUAGCUCAGGCAAGAAUUUAAGUGUCCAUCGACACGGGCUGUAUCUACCGUGCCGUAUCGUACCGACAAAAUAUCGGCACGAUAUAGCCCUCGUAUCGAUGGCACAACUCAAAACCCUCUAUUCUUUAAAUUAGUAAGUAAUUUCUCAAUAAAGUUCAAAAAUUUGAAAAAAGUACAUAAUAAACAAUUAGAAUAUUUUAUUGCUAAAACAAAUAAAUAUUUCAUGCUAUUAUGUGUCGGCACACAUGAAUUUUUUGUGACCGGCGCAUAUCGGCACGGUCCGCCAUGCACCGUGCCGUACUGUGCCAGCAAAUUUCCGGCACGAGCCCGUGCCACGGCACUUAAAUCCUUGAGGUCAGGUAUGAUUAUCAGGUAGUGGAUGCAUGACGAAUCAUAGCAUCCUCCUAAUCUCCAAAAGUUUUUUGUUAAGGAUGAAAUAACCUUCUAGUGUAAUGUGGCUGCCCGUAUUGCAUACAGGCACUUCGAGGUGUACACGAAUCAGGGUAACACAGAAUAAUCACUUUUUUUACAUGCUGUUUCAGUGCUUUCAGUAAAGGACUUGGGCCUUGUGAAUGCUUCACCUACAAUAGCCACUUUGAGUGCUUUAGAGCUUCAGAAAUGCAAAAGCGCUUUUCAAGUUUCAAGCCCAACUCUUCUAACGUCACUGAUCACAUCUCAUUAUCACAUCUCCUUUGCACUGGCUGUCGUAAGCAAAGCAUUCCAGAAGCUCUUAUGAAGUAUCUGACACUCAGAAAGCAUGUAUUGCACGAGUAAGGUAUCAAAUACAUAUCCUAAAUGGACACUGCAGUUAAAAGUAUCUGUGCAUCAUACCUAGGAGCUAUUGCUGGAAUUACCCAUUGUCAUCCAGUGGAAUUCAUUAACAUCAUCCAUGUUUUGCCUUUUUAUUUUAAGCAAGUUUAUUAAAAAUCUAUUUUUGACGGAACACACCAAUGUGAAUCUAGUCUAGCAUAAGGAAAGAAGGAUGACUGGUUGUAGUGAAACAAACUCAGCGCAUCUUGGUCCUCAUCUCAUGCUAGGUGGGGUUGGCUAUAUAAAUCUUCCAGAAUCCAGAUUAUUGAAUUCUUCAGAGAUCCAUCAAAUGAAUAUUAUUUUGGCACUCAUUCUACUUCAAGAUAAUGCCUUCUCCCAGAACUUCCUAAUCACCACUACUAGAUGGUUUUUAAGAUAAUUAAGUUUCCAACUUGCAUCAUCUUGCUCUUUCUAUGAAAGAAGAGAUGGGUUUCCAAAAGAAAUAGGUAAAGCAAAGCUUUCCCCAAUCAGACAGGAAAAAAAGAAGAGGUAGCCUGCAUAGAGUUAGUUUACCCCCAGAAAUUUUAGGAAUUAAAUUGCUUGAAAUUAAAAAUGAUUCAAAUAUGAAAUAUUUAGGAUAAAGAAGUUUAAGUUAGGCAUGAUAUGAUUAGGUAUAUAAUAAACAAUUCUAUAUUAUUUUAAAUUCAAUGAUUGAUCAAUGAACCUUAAGUUCUGCUUAUGAAUGGAACUUACGUUAAUCCAACUAUUGGGCUGAGCCCGAAUAUAGUUAAUCGAUAUUAUGAAUUUGAUUUGUCUGGGAAUCAAUCGUUGGGAUAACAUUGGAUCUCUGAAAUCAACUCCAAACCAUACAAAAUUCAGUGUUAACUAAUUGGCAAUAGUUCAGGUUUAUAUUCGUAAUUUGGAAGUAAGACGACUAACGGAUAAGUGUAAGUUUACUUAGAUGCAAGUUUAGCUCACCAGGGUGAUUUGACUCUUCUAAGCAACAUUUUAUCUUGUAAAUUGAACCCAAUUGAAAAAAAAAAAAAAAAAAAAAAAAAAAUUAUAUAGCCAAUAUCAAAAGAUUGAGAGACAGAGCCAAUUGUAAUGACACAGUCCACUAGCACCAACUUGUUGGGCCCUAACUACUGGCCCAAAACACUGCAGGCCCAAUUACUAAUACUAGACUGUUUAGUCCUUGUAUACCCAGAUACAAUACUUUUUCAAUCCAAUACAGGACUAUUAGGAUGCUACAAACUUCCCCCCUCUAGACCCUGACAUGAUUAUCAUGUCCAAUCACAAUAUAGAUCAGGAUCUCUACGUGAUGUGAAAUUCUAGCACCGAGUUUUCACACUUCCGACUAGUAACUACUUUGACACCAUAUGGAAUGACCCAGUCCACUAGCAUUAUUAACUUGCUGGGGACAAACCACCUACCUAAAAUGCUUAAGCCCAAGUUACUAAUACAAUUAGAAUGCUAGUCCUUAUAUGACUAGACACGAUCCCUUUCUAUCCAAUUUGAGACUAAUUCUAGAGUGCUUAAACCCUUCUCUUAAGUUGUCCUAUCCGCCAUGAUGGUAAAAACCAAUGUAAAAACUAGGUCGAACCGGCUAGUUUGACCAGUCCUACCAUGACCCAGUCUAUAAAGCGGUUCGGUUAAACCCUUUAGACAGGAUAGUCAAAAAACCGCUUUGAAGCAUUUGAACAGGUGGUUCAACCAUUAAACCAGUGAACCAGUCCGGUUUUAAUCAAACUAGGGCGGGUUGUUUUUAUCAAGUCAUAUGAAGAUCCAACGGCUUAAAAUCAACUUAGCUUAGAAUCAACAGUUUACUUUUUGAUGUGGAUUGUUAGGAAUGUAAGAAUGUAAACUCAGACAAAAUGUUUAAACUCUUAUGUGGUAAAAAUUUGAAUAGGUAUAUGGAUCCAUAUACAAGCUAGACACAUCUACAUCUACAUCCAUGUCUAACUAAGCUCGUAUAUGAAUAUCAAAUUUAAAGGGUAUUGUACUAUUGUCUAAUCAUCUUUUUCAGAUCUUGCAGCACUAUCAUGCUUGGAAUAGAGUACAUUUCUUGAAUCAUCGAUAACAUGGCUAAAAUAUGGUUAAAACAAUGUUCCACUAAACCCGCAAUUUGGAGAAUAAGAAGAUACACGUACUUACUGGAGGAAUUGUAUACUGAACAACUGAGGAAGGAGGAAUGGAUAAUUCAUAACUUCGAAGAUGCUCCACCAAGCAAAUGUUUCCCUCUAGUUCAUUUGAGACUUGAAUACUCAAUGAACACUCUGCAAGCCAUGAACUUUGGUUUUGCAAUUCAACAGUUGUAUGCAGGUAGGACCUCUUAAAAUCAUCAAAGAACGAUGACACCAAGUGAGGAUCAGAUAUCUUCACAGGCUGCAUUGAAGAUUGAACUUGUAUGAGAAAUAUGUAUUAGCACCUAAUUUCAUCCAUUAACUUGGAAUAUAUUUUGCUCAUUUGAACUAAUUCUUUGACUGAGGUAUCAGGCAGUCAACGGAAACUCACCCCAGUAAUGGAAAUUGAUACUUCAUCCCAGAUCCCAGUGUUCCUAUCCCUGCGUUAUCAUGAAAAACAAGCGGAUUGUGAAUAACAAGUUUCUCACAAAAUGCAUUUUCAAUAUGCCAACAGAAAUUAACUCAAGCCACUUGCUCCAUUCAAGAGAUGCCAAAACCGACUAAAAUGAUGUAAUAACCUAAAAUUUUUAGUUCAAGUUUUGUUGGGUUUAACUGUUUUUUGUCCAGUUUAUUCAGCUGAAGAAAUUUUUCUUCAUGUCAUGUUCCGGAACAUGGUUUGAAGUUUUAGAACAUGACAGAACUCCCUCUUGGCAAAAGUUUCAGCCUCUGCAGAACUCGAGAGGAAGUUUCGAAAAUUGGGCAUGUUCCAGAAUUCCAGAACAUGAUCUGCAGAGUGUGUGCGUGAGUGAUCUGCAGAGUGUGUGCGUGAGUGGGUGGGUGUGAACCAUGAUGUGGAAAAGUGAGGAGUGUAUUUGCAACUAUCCACCUGUACUAUAAAUAUUCCCUUAGCUAGCCCUAGCCUCUUUUUCCUCUUUUCGCCUCUUUGAGUGCUCUCCCUCUCUUCCUCUCCUUCACUUCCACUCUCACCCUCAGUCAGCUGUUCACCCUCCCAAUUGCCGUUCGUCAUCAAUCUCUCUCUUGGAGGUCUCUCCCAACUGAGAUCUACUUCAUCCUUCACUCCUCUGGACUCUUGCGCGAAAGCCUCCACCAUAACAUCUCAACUCAUCUUGUCCUCCCCACCAUAGAUUGGUACCCAUUUCAUUUCAUACUUUGUUUUGGUUAUGCUUUCUGGUGAUUUCUUGGGUAUAUUGCCUCGUUAGGGUGUUAGGAAGCCUAAAUAUUUUUCCUUUUGAAUCUCUUAGAAUCCAUUGUUGUUUCUCAAAACCAUAGAGGCUGAAAUGUUAGAUCUUUGAUUUCGAUUGCAGGUUCUUGAUGCUUCAUGUAUAUCUUAGCUAUCUUGAGCUUUUGGAGUGGUUAAAUGGCUUUUUUGGGUUUGAUUUCUUGGAAAUCUACUUCAACUAAAGUUUUUGUUGUUUUCGUGGUGUUCUGAAACCUUCUAUUCAUGUUUCGGAACAUAGUAGGGUGGCCUGAGAGACAAAGCCCUCUGUCUUUGCAGAACCUGACAUGAGGUUCCAGAACCUUAUGCCAUGUUUCGACACCUCAUGUCAAGUUCCAGAAUCUGCCACUCUCAUAUCUAUUUUGGAUCCAGAAUAUGUGCCUUAGGGUUUUUAGGCCCUAAAUUGUGACAUAUUGACCUUGUACUCAUUCUCCUUGGUAGUGUUUGGUUCUGGAACAGGGGGAAUAAGCCCUUGUUUUCCCCCUUUGUUUCCAAACGAAAAUUUUCGUACCUGAGAACAAUAGUUCUCAAGCCCCUGGAAUAAACUGGUAUAACCCGGUAUAAUGCUGGAACUGUUGCUCCACCCUUUUUCUAGAACAAGAUUGUUCCCAAGUGGUUAAUUAAAGCCUAAAUUUAUUUUUAAUUAUGGUAUUAAAUCAUUAAUUAAUUUAAUUAAUAUAUUUAAAUCAUUAUCCAUUGCUUAAAUAAUAAAGAAAUUAAUUAAUUUAUUACUUAUAAUUAAUUAGCUAAUUAAUUAUUUUAUCUAUAAACUAAUAUUUAUAUUAAUCAACCAUUAAUAUUUUUAUUAAUCUAAUUAAUUUUUUUACUAGUUAUGUAACUAAAAUAAUUUACUAACUAAUUAAAAAGUUAAAUUAUUUUUUAUAUUUAAUUAAUUAAUAUAUUUUCAUUAUCUUAUACAAUAUCCAUAGGGUAAAUUGCAUUGUUACCUUCUGAACUUUUGGCGAAGUUUCACUUUACCCCUCGAACUGCUAAAAUGGACAUCUAACACCCUAAACUCUAAUAUUUCAUUCAUGUUACCCCUUCCAUCAGUUUUCCGUCAAGCUCCGUUAAUUGAAAACUGACGGAAGGGGUAAAACGAAUAAAAUAUUAGAGUUUAGGGUGUUAGAUGUAAGGGAAUAAGGUGUCGCCCCGUGUCGUACGGCACGGGGCGUGCCGUACCGUGCCCCCAAAAAGAGGGCACGAUACAGGGGGGGUCUCGGAUCCCCCCCAUGUGCCGCGGCACACCUCCCGUGCCGCUCGAGACAAAGCGGCACAGGUUCAGGUGUCGCGGCACUGUGCCGCAUGCCCAGCCAUUGUUUUUUUUUUUUGCUUGGCUUUUGUUUUUUUGUUUGCUUUUGCUUUUUUUUUCUCUUUGGAUAUGCUUUUGCUGUGGCCCACAGUCACAUGCCCACAGCCUAAGUUUUUUUUUUGUCUUUUUCUUUGGCAUUUGGGUUGCUAUGGGCAUCUGUCACAUGGCCACAGCCUAAGUUUUUUUUUUUUUGUCUUUUUCUUUGGCAUUUGGGUUGCUGUGGGCAUCAUGUCACAUGCCCACAGCGUAAUUAAAUUUUGUUGUCUUUUUAUUUGGUCUUUGGGUAACCCAAAGGCCAAACAACUAUAAUGCAAAGGCUGUGAGAUACUGAGAUUAUAAAUUCAUGCAAGAGCUUCCUGACCUCCGUGCCCAUCUUUCUUUCCUUCGUAUUCUUUCUUCCCCUUUCUUUCUUUUGCCAGUGCUUAGCAGCCUUAGCUAUCUUCUCCUCUCUCUUUUUUCUUUUCAGUUCUUACAUAUCUUCCUAAAAUUAUUUUUGUCCUCUUUUUUUCGUCGCUUGAAAAGAAGGCAAAGACAUUUCAUAUCGCAGAUUUGCUAGUUAGGUAAGUCAAAAAAUUAUAAUUUAAAUUUUUUUAUUUAUAAAUAUAGGGGCUAAUUUUUAAUUGACAUAUCUGAUCCAGCACAGACAUCCACUUUCUUUUCGCAAAUUAUUUUAUCAAAAUUUCUCGCACCGUGAAGCGUUCGGCGAAUCAGGGUAAACAACAUCAAUCAUAAUUUCCUUUUUUGCAUUAGAAGAUAUAAAAUAUUGAUAAAAUUAAAAGCUAAAUGAAAUCAAUUGAUAUUUAAGUUUAUUUAAUUUAUUUGUCAUUUAGUUUAUUGCUAUUUCUUUUGAUGAUCUAACAAUUUUUCAAAAAAAAUUAAUAAAAAAAUAUUUAAAAAUAAUUACAAAAAUAAUUUUAAAAUUAUGUUUUUAUAUCUUAUAAAAGAAAGGCAGUAAUACGAUCAAAAGAAAUAGCAAAAAAAAAGAUGUCUUUGUAUUUUGAAAAUUAUAACCUGCAAUAAUUUUAAAAAAAUAAUAUAAAUAAAUUUAAAUUAAUUUAAGAAAAUAUAAUUUUUAGGAAACUAUUUCGCUAACUUUGUAUUUUAUACUAUAUUUUUCUGGAAUAGAUUUUAUUUUAUUUGUUUGUAUGUCAAUAAUUAUAGAUCAUAAUGGCACCUAAACGAUCAGAAGAUUAUGGUUGGCAACAUGGACAAAUGAUUGAUACGAAUAGGUUUCAUUGGAAGUGCAAUUAUUGUAAUAUGGUCAGAAUGGGUGGAGGUGUCACUCGCCUAAAAAAACAUAUUGCUGGGGAUUUUUCUUAAGUAUCGAACUGCCCUAAAGUCCCUCAGGAAAUAAGACAUGCAAUGAAAAUUGAGUUAGAAUCUUCAAAAUUAGCAAAAAAGAAAGUAAGAGAUGAUCGAGAUGAACUAGAUAAACGAGCGACAGAAUAUCCCCUAUUGACCCAUAUGAAAGUAUAGGUGAUGAAUUAGAUGCUGAUACUAGAGCUGCCAUGGAAGCAUCUGCACAAGAAAGAUGGCAGCAAGAUGAAGUCCAACGACAUAGAACACAAUUUGGACGCUCUUAGUUUGAUGCCGGUGGUGGGUCUGGGUCUGCACCAUCUGGUUUAGCUCGCAGUGGUUCUGUUAGCCGUUUGUUCGACAGAUUUAAAAAAGGACCAAAAAAAAAAAGUGGAAGACAUCCAAAUAUUAUAGAUAUAAACCCAAUGGCAUUUCCACACUCAGAUGCUCAACAGCAGCGUAUAGAUACAAUGUUAAAAAAAGAUAAAAAAGGUAGAAUUGGUAGAGCAAUAGCAAAGUUUUUUCACUUUAGUCAUAUUCCUUCCCAUGCAGCAAGUACUCCAUAUUAUAGAUCAAUAAUUGCUACCAUACAAAAAGAAGGUCAAGGAGUUGAACCCCCAACGCCGUAUGAGAUCUCUGGCAAAUACCUUGACGCCGAGGUCAAUGAUAUUCAUGCAUUGGUAACAAACUUGAAACAGCUGUGGGAGAUGUAUGAUGUGACUUUGAUGUGUGAUAGUUGGACAGGACCAACAAAAAUGAGCAUUAUAAAUUUUUUAAUUUAUUGUAAUGGCAAGAUGAUCUUUCACAAAUCAAUCGAUGCAACCGGUCGAUUUGAAGAUGCUGACUAUAUAUAUGCAUUAUUGGAACAAGUGUUAAGUGAGAUUAGUGAGAAAUGUGUGGUACAAGUUAUAUCGGACAAUGGUGCAAACUUUAAGAAAGCUGGCAAACUAUUAAUGCAAAGGCAUCCCCAUUUAUUUUGGACUCCUUGUGCAGCGCAUUGCAUCAACGUAAUGAUGUCUGACUUUGAUGAGAUAAAUCGGGUAAAAAAAACUGUAAAUACUGCACAACAUAUAUCUAAGUAUUUGUAUAAUCAUCUUUGGGUCCAUACUUUAAUGGUGAAAUUCACAGGACGAGAACUCGUACGUUCUGGUAUCACACGAUUUGCAACAAAUUUUAUUGCUCUAAACAGUAUCCUUCAAAAUAAAAAUGGAUUAAAGUCCAUGUUUGCAUCAGAUUAAUGGCAAACAUCUCGUUAUGCCUCCACGGCUGAUGGAAAAUCGAUUGAGCAAAUAAUUAUGUCUACCAAGUUUUGGGAUUAUGUGAAAGAGAUUGUUGAUAUUGUGGAGCCGCUAUAUGUGGUCCUCCGUUUAGUGGAUCAGGAAAAAAUACCUCAAAUGGGACAUGUUUAUUAUAAACUGAGGAUGGCUAAAGAUAAUAUUAAAAAAAAUAAUCCACUACGGUGCCAAUCUUUUCUAAAAAUUAUUGACAGACGUUGGGACGUCCAGAUGAGCCGGGAUCUACACCUAGCAGGUAAGUUAUAAAUUAUAACAAAACUAUUUAUUACUGAUUGUUCAUUAGUAGUCUUGUAUUGUUAAUGGAGUGAUUUCUUUCUUAAUGAUAGGUUAUUAUCUUAAUCCGUCGUACCAUCAUCGUUAUAAUCUUGGAUUUGAUGAUGAACUGUUGAAGGCAUUACGAAACGUUAUCAAUAGAUUGGAGAGGGAUCCAACACAUGCUGCUCUUGCCAUAAGUGAGGUAUAAUAUUUUUUCAAUGUAUUAUUAGUUUGCUAGAUGUUAAUAUGCUGAUUUCUAAUUAUUAUACUAUCAUAAUAAAGGGAAAAAUAUUUCGUGAAUCCUCUGGAACUUUUGGUGAAGCGGAUGCAAUUAACGGAAGACACAAUACCGAUCCCAGUAAGUAACUCCAUAAUUUAGAUAGUUUACAACUGACGACAAAUCUUAUUUGAUAUAUUUUUAACUUUUAAUUGUACAGCUGAGUGGUGGCUACAAUAUGUGUAACAAAGUGAAUUCUCGAAAUCCGAGAGUUGCACUUCGUCGAGGAUCGACUAAUGGUCGAGUGAGUACCCUUCGGAGAAGUUAUGGAUGCACGAAACCCUAAAAGUGCAUUGGAAUGGAGUCCGCGAGAGCAGAGAUGCAGAAUCUGCAUCUUAAGCAGAUUUGCUCUCGGGGACCGAUCUCUGGCAGGAGAGACCGGUCCCAUCGGCUGAGGGUUGCGGGGUUGCUGAUGCAACCGGUCCCUGGCAGGGAAGGACCGGUCCCCGCAGGCGACACCAGCGAGAAUGGCCAAAAAUUGGCUAAGUCCCGCGAGACGAGCUCUCGGGGACCAGUCUCUGGUGGGCAGACCGGUCUCCGGGGGACCGGUCUCCCAGGGAGAGACCGGUUCCCGAACGCGUGGAAAAUGGGAAGGUCCUCUGGGACCGGUCCCAUGUCGGGGAGACCGGUCCCUCCGCGCGAGUUCAGCCCAGUGAGGGCCAGUUGAGAGAUGGAAAGUUGAGGGGCUUCUUAGCAUUUUGUUACAAUAUGAGAGGGGAUUAAGAGAGGGUUUCUCUCUCUCUUUCUCUCACUCCCUCACUCUCCCACCGCCUCCUCUCUCUCUCUGUGCGUGAAGAAGAGGGAAAAGAAAAAAGGAGAAGAAGAAAGAGAAGGAAAAGAGAAGAAAGAAAGAAGAAGAAGGAGAAGAAGACUAAGAAAGAGAUCUUCAUCCUCUUCUUCGUCUUCCUCGUGCUUGGAGCAACCUAGAGAGGUAAGCGCUUUGCCUCCUCUCAUGGAAAAUCUUUAAGGAGGGGAUUUUAAACCCUAGAAAUGGUAUUUUUGGUACCCUAGCAUGCUAUCUAGAUGGCUUAUACCCAAAUCAUGAAGGGAUUUGAGGGAUUUGGUAGUAAUAGCAUCUAGGGCAUCCAAAAUGGGGUUUUGUGAUUUGGGAGGGUUUGAUCUCAUUUGACCCUCUGUUAACCUAAUUGAUAGGUAACGAAACGCGUUGGCGAAGUCGGUUCAGCAAUCCGACAAGCCGUUACAAAGAUAUCGAAGAAACGGACGUUUGGAGCUUCGUUUCCGCCUGAAAGGCCGAGGCGACGUCCAUAAAUCGCGAUGUCGAUUUCCGAGCGCCAUAACAGCAAGGCGAAGACCUUUAACUCUUGAAACGGCGAAGCGACGCGCUAUUGGAGUGCAACUACAAGAUCGGGCCCAAACGGGUGCCGAGUGCCGUGGGAGGCCGAUUGCAAGUGUCGACGAGCAAUCGGAAGGCUAGCUAAGGUGGGUUGUGCUUACCGAAGCGACUAGGUCGCCCUUUAUGUCUAAGAUAAUUAAGAAUCCAUGUUGAUGCAUAUAAAUAUAAAUAAAGCAUGUGGAUGAUGCACGUAGCUAAAGCUAAGUAAUGCAUGUUAAUAAUAUGAUGCAGAUGCUAAGUAGACGCAUAUAAGUUGAUAUAGAAAUCAUAGAAUGCAUGAUUAGCAUUGUGAGAAUAUGCUAGGUAGAUAUGCAUGUGAACUAGAUGAUAACUCUAGAAAGAGUAGAGUUGAUUGACAUGAGAACUUAUGGUACUCGAUUGGACAACUAGGAUGUCAGGUAGAUCGAGUGGCACCUAACCUAGUGUUGAAGAACAUAGGUUAAAUAAGUAAACCUAGAGUCGAACAAGUCUAGGUGUGUGGCAUCGAACCUAAUGUUAGUAAACAUAGGUCGAACAAGUGAACCUAGAGGUUGACAUCUAGGCAGAGAUGAGAUAGAACCUAGCGGUUUUACCUAGGUCAUGUUUGUGAUAAACCUAGAGUGAAGUUAAACCUAGGUUGUUGAGUAUAGUGGUAUUAGCCACUAGAUGUUCUAGGUCGACAGCAUAGGGUUGGUUAUGGACCCUUGACCUGUGGAAAGUGGAUUCCGGAAUCCCAAAACCUGUGAUGACCCUGGUAUCAAGGCUAGGGCGUGUGCAACGAUUUCGCCGCCGAGGUUGAUACCGAGGGAGGAUUGGGGCCAAUCACAUGGAGAUCACCGCUCGGGGCUUGGACCAUUAACGUGGCAUGUGCGACGAUUUCGCCGCUGGAUGGUUAAGCCGAUUGUGGAUCAGACCGCCAGGAUUGACUGAAACCAUUGCUGGGUAAGUACGAUAUGGGUGCCGCCAGGUGGCUGAGUCGUUACUGAAACCAUUGUUGGGUGAGAUGCGAUUAGUUCGCCGCCAGAUGGAUAGGUCAUGACUUGAGUCCUCGCUAGGUAAGUGCAACGUGUUCGUCGCCAGAAUGGCUGUCACGCCCCGAGACCGCUACCAAUUUGGUCCGGCCCGGGCGCGUCGAACAGACGCCGAACGGACAGGACCUCCCCUGUCCGCCCAAGGCAACCAACAGAUCAUGUAUGAGAAUUUACCCAGGAAUUCAAUUCAAUAAUACACGAUCAAGAAGCACCACCAGUGCGACAAACAAGAGCAAGAUACAAGUAUAGAAACAUAUACAUGUACAUAAAGAGAGAAGAGCUAUCUAUUACAUUCAUUUGACUUAACUCAUUCAAUUACAUCUUUUACAUUCUUCCAAAAUAUAAAUACAAUCACUCCACCUCACCCUAUACAACAUCUACUCUCAAAUACAGAAAGGGUGAUGGCUAAUGCAAAAAGGGAGGUAGCUAAUGCGACUAAAACGCCGGGCCCAUACCGCGAUCCUCGCGCUCACCGGGGACACCCGAACUGGAACCUGUAGUAAAAUGGGGGUGAGAACUAACUUCCUUAGUUCCCAGUGGGUUCGGCCGCCGACUCCGCCGAUCUCCCCACUAGGUCCAAGCGGGCACGAAAUAGAUAUCGAUAGAUAGAUAGAUAAGGAACCGCGUAGAUGACAGAAGUAAAGCUACUCUACUAUGCCAUAUAAUAUAUGAUGCAUGUACAAUGAAAUAGGUAAUCAGCUAACCGUUAUCAUGUCAAAGAUGAAGCUAUUCACUCGAUUGUUACCUCAUUCCACUUGUUUUCAUCAAUCUCGUGGCGUUACCCGAGGCUCGCUACAGCUCACUAGCCAUCUCGACACGUAGGAGAUUCACUCACACUGCGGACCCGAGACGCUGGCGGCCAUAUAGCAAUCCCUGGCGUGACCAACAUCCGGAGCGCACUACUUGUGUGGGCUUCCAUCACAAGAUUUAACAGACCGUGAGCAUGAUCCCAUUCUCUUAAGCUGAGGAUACCUAUCCUCUAGGGUCACAAACAUCAUUAGUCCAUAGGUUCAUAUACACUAUGAUCUCACAUGUGUGUCAUUUGUUUUUUGCUUACUAUCAAACUAAAUGCCACUCGUCCAUUGUUUACUAUCGACUAAGAAUGCCACUCGUUCUUUGUUCAUCAUUUUCUCUACAUUAUAGGGUCACAAGACUCGACCCAAUCCUCACCAAUCCUCUAUAUCCAAUAUCCAAUAUCAUGCACAAUAUCAUCAAGGAGCAUAAGGAAAGGCAAUGCAUAAUAAUCCUAUAAUAUAAUCAUACAAAGAUGCAAGGAUCAAAAUAUCUAAGACAUAGGAGGGAGCCCGAUUGCUUCGCGGAUGGACACCACCCACCUCUGGCAUGCGCGAUGAUAGAAAUCGACGUUGCGGUCUUUGCACGUCGCUUCAACUCCUCGGGCGAAGCGAGCCUCGAGUACCCAAUUCGGCGAUAACUCCGCAUCGUUCUGUCGAUCGGCAAACCGUCUUCGCCGACGCCGUUUCCAAGACCUGGGCAAUCUAGGUUUAUGACCUAUUAAAAUAGAUCAAAACCCUAGAUUUCCCAAAAUCCCAAUCCGUGCCAUAGAAUGGCAACGGGGAAGAAAUUCGUGGUUGCGAGCUUCAAUUGCGAGCUCGAACCUUCCCCUAGUCUCAUUGUAGGUCCGUAUUCGAACCAUCUAUAGCAACAAAUCCAAAACCCUAAAACAUCCAUUAAAGGGUUUAGACUUACCUCUCUUCAAGACUCCUUCAAGCUUGAGGGAGAGGAGAAAAAGAAGAUGUCUUCUUCUCUUCUUCUUCUUCUUAGUCUUUUCUCCUUCCUCUUUCUUCUUCUUCCUCCUUCUUCUCCUUCCUCUCUUCUCUUCGUCCUUCUUCCUUUCUUUUCUUUUCUUUCCUAGAGAGAGAAAGGAAAAAGUGAGGAGAGAGAGAGAGAGAGAGCAACUUGAGGGUGAGAGAGGGGUCCCCAAGCCCUAUUUAAAGGCCAUUUUGAGCUAAGCCCCCUCCACUUUUCAUUUACUGAUUCAGGUCCGCUUCGGUAUUUUCGCAGCGAGGGACCGGUCCCAGUUCGGGAAGACCGUCCCGAAGGCUGCAUUUCGGAGACAGGGAAUUCCGCGUCGGGAACCGGUCCUUGCCUGAGAGACCGUUCCCGGGAGACCGGUCCUUGUCCGAGAGACGGUUCCCGAGAGCUGCAUUCUCGGGACUUAGCCAAAUUUGGCUAAGUCUCGCCAGGCCAACGUCGGGCACCUGUCCUGCCCACCAGGACCGGUCUCAUCAGAGACCUCCGCCAACCAACGCCUGAUGGAACCGGUCCCUUCCUGCAGUCAGGGACCGUCCCGAGAGCAUUUCUGCUCCAGUGCAAAUUUUGCACUGGUGCUCCCACGGACACCUUCCUUAAUGCACUUUAUGCAUUAUAAACCCUUCGGACUUUCGAAGCCUACGCACUCGACGAAUAGUCGAUUCUGGUCGAAGUCUAAUCCUCGAGUUUCGAGAAUUCACUUCCUUACAAUGGCUAUGUCUAAGACUUGAGCCGGGUUCAUCGCGUGUCGACAACUUUUGCCGCUAAGAAGCUAAGAUCAGCAGAGCGGUAGGCUGUUGAGCACAGUGCGCGGACUAUCCGGCGGAUGAUUGACUCGAAGCCGAGUCGGGUGGUUAGCUUCGAUAAGGUAGUGGAACCCUUAUGAGCUAGAGAUAGAGGCUUGGGCUAAGGUAAUAGAGACCUUAGUAGCCAGUGGACUUGAGUUAGAUCCUACGGUAAUAGAAACCUUAGAUUGAAUGAUAAGAGCUAAAAGUAGCCAAGUGUAGAAUCAAUUGAUCUACUAGUUGUUGCAUAGAGUUGCAUGAUUUUCAUAUCGCAUAUCGUGAGGCAUGGCAUAUAUUUCAAUUGAAUAUAUAUAUAUCUGUUGUAUAUUGUUGAACUAACAUGUUGCAGUGCCUCCUCGGACCUAUUGGUCGAGCUUUUCCCUUGGGUGGCCGUACCCACUGGAAACCAUGGAGUUGGUUCUUACCCCACGUUGUUUUGGGGUGUUACAGGUUCGCACGUGAGCGGCGCGAGGAAAGGGUGUAGCUCCGUAGAUAGCGCCCUACCCCAGAGACCAGAGCUAGCAGUACCCCGAGUCAGCAGGGCCUAGGGCUUAGAAUGGAAUGACAACAACCAACUUGUAUUAAAUGUAAUAAUGUGAUUGUAUUUCGAAGUUAAGCAAAUGUAAAAAAAAAAUAUUGUAUGAAAUGAAUGCUUGUAAUAGUAGUUAGUUUUAUGUUAUUGAUACUUCCUUAUGCAAUCUUGAUUGAUAUCAGUUCCUGGUUGGAACACUCGUUCAUUGUUUUGAUUGCGACGCCUAGGACGUACAGGGAAAACUCUGUCCGUUCGGCGGUCUGUUGACGGCGCCGUGACCCAGCCAAAUGGGCGGGCGGUCGCGGGGCGUGACAAUAUAGUGGAUCAACAAAGCAUUUAAAAAAGAUUGUUGUGCGUAUCUUAUCACAAACGACAACGUCUAGUGGAUGUGAACGCAACUAGAGUACGUUCGCACUUAUACAUACCAAAGUGCGUAACCGAUUAGCGUACGCUCGAUUAGAGAAGCUAGUUUAUGUCCACUAUAAUAUGAGGCUCCGUUUAAGAUGCAUGCAAGAGGAGUAUGAUAAGGAAAAGGAAUUAAAAACUUAUGAUCCCUUGGAUGCAAGUUUUAUCAAUGAUGAAUCAGACCCCGUACUUGAUUGGCUACAAGAUAGAGACAAUCAAGAGGACCCAUUACUCGAUGAGCCUGGAGAUCCACCACGACCAUUCAAAAUAAUUGCUGAUAAAGCAGGAAUUAGUGAUGCUGAAGAUGCGCUGACGAGAACAUAGGAAGUCUCAAGGUAAUGUGCAAGAACAAGCGGCUUUGGACGAAGAAUCCCAAAAUCCUGCACAUGACUCUGAUGCAGAAUUCAAACGUCUUAUGCAAGGACCUGGAUAUGGUCGUUCACGUCAUACACAGAGUCAAUCUGGAAAGGAGAAAACGUCUUAUACCGCAAAGAGCCCUUCAACGACAGUCCUAAGUGGUAAGAGUAAAAAAAGUAUGACAUCGAUGGAUCCAUUAGAUGCAACUUAUGCACUCUCACAAGAUGAUGAUAGUAAUACAUCGACACCAACAAAUUCUGGAUUACCACAGUCUAUAGAUGAAUGUAGUGAUGAUGAUGAUACCACUAAUAGCAGUGAUGAUGGUGGCAACUUCAUUCCACCAACACAACAGGAGAGUGGAGGUGGUCGUGGCCUUAUAUUUACUGAAGAGCAAAACUUCACACAUCCCACUCAAGAUGCUGAUCGUGGGUCUCGACCACGUCAAACAUCCGGAGUGGUAUAUGACCGUCGAAAAGAUAGGAGGCCCUCACAACAAGAUUAUGGGGAGAUGAGAGAAGGUUUGGAGGCAAUAUCAACUAGACCUCCACGAAGGGAUGAUAUUUUGCACACACAGUUUGAUAGUACUUCAAUAUCAUCGCAUCCCUCAUAUCGACAUGGCCUAUAUGGAGAGAUAUUUGAUUAUGAUUCAUCAAUUUAUGGCACUCAGAGUGAAUCCCAAUUCAUCCCUGGACAUAGUGAAAGCUCAUACGGCAAAUCUACAUCGACUCAUGCAUAUCCACAUUAUGGUUCUUCUAUUCCAUACAAUCCAUAUCCUUAUGAUGCUUCAGUCUAUAUGCCACAAGAUGACUGUUGUCCAUUAUAUCCAUGAUCCAGUUGCAUAUGCAAGUUAUCUCCGACAAUACAAUGACAUAUAUCGGGAAUAUAUGACUUUCUCACAAUACCAACAAUACUUAUAUCAACAUUGUCAUAUAAAUCUUGUAUCUGCAACUGACAGUAUGCCAUAUGAUCAAGCGCGACAAUCUAUGUGGAAUUAAGCAGUCAUCUCUACAUAACGAUGUAAAUUUAAAUAAUUAUUAUACUUGGGCUAGGGCUACUAUACUCAUAUGAGUAUAGAGCCCUUUGUACUCAUAAUAAGUUUUCAACCGUUCAGAUGAAAAAAUGUGCAGUUAAGAUGAGAGUGGUUACGGUUAGGUUGAUAGUGGGACCCCUAGGGUUGAGUGGGUGGUUGGUUGAAUAGUAUAAUCUAACAGGUGAAUUUGAUUAAAGGGUAGAUCUAAUGGCCAAAAACUUAUGAGUACAAGAGGCUCUAUACUCAUAAGAGUAUAGUAGUCGGACUCAUUAUACUUGUGAAUUUUAUUAUUGUAUUUUAGUUUUUAUUUUACAUUAGGUAUAAGUUGUAUUUUACUUACAAAAAACUUACAUGCAUGUUAAUUGAUGAGUAUACUACGGUAUAUAUAGCAAAUAUUCAUAAUUAUUUAUUUAAAUCUUUCAAAAUAACAUUAUAAGAGUUUAUUGGAAUCAAAAAAACUGAAAAAAAUCCGUGCCAGAGCGUGCCAGUAGGAGGUCGUGCGUAUCUGUCGGCACGCAAGCGUGCCACGUGUCGGCACGCAAGCGUGCCCGUGCCGUACCGUGCCAGGGCCGUAACAGCACGCCCCCGUGCCAUAGCACUUUAAACCUUGUUUUUAUCACAUCUUUUGAACUUUAUUGAGGAAAUUACUUACUAAUUUAAAAAAUAGAGGGUUUUGAAUUGUGCCAUCGGCACGGGGUCUAUAUCGUGCCGGUAUCUUGUUGGCACGGUACGGCACAGUGGAUACGGCCCGUGCCGACGGGCACUUAAAACCUUAGUUAAAACCUUGCAUAUAGUAUUUUAAUCCCUUUGCCUCACACGCACAUAAUUUUUAAUACACCUUUCAUCUUUACUACUAUGUGGCUUUCUUAAUCAAAAGCCUAAAAGAGUUGAAACUAUACAAACAACACACGGGGAAUAAAACUUUACUGUUAUUAUUAUAUUUGAAUUGGACAAUUAAAAUUUAGAAAGAAUUGAUGAUAUUCAUGUAAGUUUCACUUGAGCAAUAAUGAAAUAGCUACCUUAUCGGAGUCAUCCAAUCCCAUCCUUCAACAUAUUGAGCAGCAACAUCUUUUCCAAUCUAAACCAACCAAAUUAAAUAUUGUCAGGAUACAUAUAUUAAUAAAGAAUGCAAAUAUUGUUGCAAAUAUUGACAUCGCUGAUCCAAAGAACCAAAUAUGACAAUUGUUUUAGUGGAAAAUUGAAGUAAAUGUGAUUGGUAUGGAAAGUUGAGAGAAAUAUUUGCUAAAUAACAUCAUGAAUAAAUGUUACUAUAAAUUAGGCAUUUUGGGUGAAUUGAUACAUAAAUGAGAAAUAGUAAAAUCGAUCUCUAAUAGUUAAAUGAUGUUGAAAAUUCAUGAAAUUUGGAUAGUUAAUAUACUUUAGAUGAUGUCUUUAAUGUUGAUCAUCAACUUAGAUUCCCUAUCAUUGAAAAUAAAAUGAAAGAACAAUCCUUAGCAUAAUUAAUGCUAAAGCAUCCAAAUCUUCGAUCUACAGGAUAUUUGAAGUUACUGCAGACCACAAUUCACAGUUUUACUGUACCCUUAAGCAUCAAGUGGAGACAAAUAAGAACAUUGCAAAUUACAUAAGCAAUCUAACAAUAAGAUAUGAGUCCUCUAUAAAUGAUUAAAUACACUAUCCUUGAUCUAGACAUAUAAACAAUUUUUUAAAUGAAUUUUCAACUUAUUUGAAUCUAAAUUAACCGUCAAACUUUUAAAAAUAAUAGUCCAUAUUGGAUAUUGUUGAAUACAAAUAUUAAAAACACCAUUUUCUAACAACUUAAGCUUUUGGCGAACAAUGGUUCUUUCAUAAAAUUUAAUAUGAUAUCAGAGCAGGAGAUCCCGAGUUCGAGUCUUGCCAAGCUCCUAGCAUUAUUUAAUUUUCUCCUAUGUAAUUCAAGCCCACGUCUAAGGCCCUUCAAAAUGUGUCAACUCUCAAGCCCUAUAUGUGAAGGGGAGUGUUGAAUAUAAAUAUUAAAAACACCGUUCUCUGAUAGCUUAAGCUUUUGAAGAACAAUGGUUGUUUCACAUAAUUUAACAUAUAUAUAUAUAUAUAUAUAUAUAUAUAUAACGCAAAAGGUGUAAAGGUAUCUCCACAUAUCAACUAAAGAUUUAAAAGGACUCAAUUGUUUCACACAAGGCAUUAAAUACGAUACACUGACCAACUGAAAUUGCCAAUUCGCAAAGCGCUUUAUACAAAGAAAGGUCAAAAUAUCCUAAACUUGGUUUUCAGUGGCUUCACAUGUCUAGAUCAUUUCCAACUUGAUGAGUUGUCAAUUCAAAAGCUCCAACAUCGAUUUGAGAAUGAACAAUUUGAACAUAACCAUCUUGAAUGUAUCACAUCAUUAUGUUAUUUAUAUGAAGUAAGCGCAUAAUUGUUAUAUCUUAUUGUAUAAAAAUUAUUUAAGCAUUUAUAGAGAAAAUUAUUCAUUUUCCCAUAUAACAUGUAACAUGAACAUAUCUAUAUGAAAUGAAAUAUUGAUGUUUUAGAUCUGAUACGUAGUUUUUAUUUAUUAUUUUCUAAUAUGGUAUAUAACAUAAUAUUUGAAAUAUCCCAAACCAUGAUCAUCUUUCUAAUUACUUUAUUGUAUUAAUUUUUAGUUAAUGUUUGAUGAGGCACAUAUUUGAAUUUUCACUAAGUUUGUAGAUUUGGUGCGGUAUUAAAUUUUCGUUAAUAUCAAAUAAUCAGGAUUCCAUAUAUGUCGGGAUGUAAAAUGGGGCGCCCAGCCCGGCACGGGGACUGUAGCAGCAUCGGGCCAACCUGAUGUGACGCCUCACUUUCCAUGUCUAGAGUAAUAAACUAUAUUGAGUUUAUGUAUAUAAUAGAGUAGCAUAAUUGGUAAAAUGGCAUGCAUGAAAUGUAUUUUUCUUGAGAUAAAUUGCUACCAAGGUACAAGAACUAGACAUUAGAUGAAUCAUGUAUACCGUGUUGUGGACAACUAGGAUAAUGACAUUCUCUAAGGACAAUAGAGAAGUGGACAUGCAUGUGUUAAUAAACCUAGUGCCAUUUAGCAUAGAUUGGAAAACAUAGUAGUCAGAACACUACUUGAACAUGCAUGUGUUAAUAAACAUGCAUGUGUUAAUAAACCUAGUCCCUUCUAGCAUAGAUUGGAAAACAUAGUAGCCAGAACACUAAUUGAACAUCAAUGUCAAGGUACCUAGGAGGGUUGAUAAUCAAGGUUGAGAACCGGGCGGAGACUUCUUGACUGUAGAUGUGUGCACCCUGUACAAGAUCAAAAGCGGCAAAUCCACUAGACUUCUCGAGUGUUACAACUGCACUUUAUAUGAGAUCAAAUGUGGUGCUUCCGUUAGACUUCUCAGGUGUACCUAUGUGCACUCGGUAUGAGAUCCAAAUGGUAAUUUUGCUAGACUUCUCAAGUGUAUAGUUGUGGACCCCGUAUGAGAGCAAGAGCGGCGAUUCCGCUACCUAUAAACCGGGUUCGAACUGAUAUGAAAGGAUAAUUAAAUUAGUGAGUAAAUGAUAAUUUGUCACACCCGGCCUGGCUCUGCAGGCAGUGCUAGGCCUACUAACUAGGGCCCAUCGGUCUAGCAUGGCCCAGGUCCCGAAAGUAGGCCCACAAUCCGGCACAGCCCAGCUCAAAGGGCCAUGAUGUUUAGACAACAGAGCCAGGCCUAUAUUGGAUUUAGGCCUGGCUCCUAGGGUCAGGCUUAGUCCUAAAGUGCUAUUUCCAACCCCGAGGGUCUACCCAGAUCUACCAUGGGUAGACCCUUGGGAAGAGGACCCAACAUCUCAAUAGCUGUUGGUAACCUUUUUUCUCUCUUUUGAAAGAAAACUGUAAGAGAUUGAGAGAGACUCUUUUGGUCAAAAUGACAAGAAUGCCCUAUCUAACAUUCAAAUCUUUGACUAUUAAAGAGGACAUUUUGGUCCAAAAAAUUAAAUUUUAAAAUUUAAAAUAUCUAUAAAUACUCCUACAAAUCUCCAUUUUCAUUACAAGAAGCAAAUCUUUCAUUCCUUUUCUUCUCCAAACACUAAUUCUCUAUAAAAUCUCUCCACAAUCUUUCCACAUAAUUUCUCAAUCUCAAGACAACUUUUAAUCUCUUAACUUUUAGUUUUAUAAUUUUUUUCAAAUGCUUUUUUGAUUAAUUAUUUAGUAUUUCUUGUGUUAUUUUUUUGUAGGGAUAAUAUCUAAUGUACCCUCAAAAACUUCAAAAAUAUCUAAUAUACUCCUAGUUGACCAGAAUGCCCUUAUUGCUUUCCAAAAAUCCCUUCAAAUAUCCCCCAACCCCUGGGGUUUACUAAAGGGAAUUGAGGUAUAGAAGAGUAUUUUGGUAAUUUUAGAGUAAAUUUGAAAUUUCUUUAAUAGUAGUCAAAGUUACAUAAGCAAAAGCCCCUUUUUUAUGACAAUUCGAGCAAAUUAAUUUCAUAUAAAUUUUUUUUGUACUGAUUAUACUCCUGAGUACUAUGUUAGCAACCAAUUAGUCAUAGUCGAUGACUGCACACAAAGUAGUGACUGUUUGCAAGCUCCACAAAAUUUGGACGCAAGUUCUAAAAAGGCGUCUAGAUGAAAAACAAGUAUGAAAAUAUUACAACAUCAAAGAAAUUGAAGGGCAUGGUUUGCAAGUUGUUUGUACAAUAUGUGAGACUCACUAUUCUUGUGAUAGCUCUACUAGAGCAGAUCAUCCUAACCAACAUAUUUAGAAACAUCUGGUAAAAAAAGGUAAAGAGAUAAAAACAAUCACAACUUGUUUUUACUUCUAGUGGAGUUGGUACGUUUCAAUAUUCACAUAAAUGUAAUAAAAGAAAAGUUGCAUUAUAUAUUGUAGGAGCUAAGCCACCACGUACAUUUGCUUAAUGUCCAUAUUUUCAACAUUAUGUGAAAACCGUUUUGAAUCCCGCAUCAAAAAAAUUUUUUGAAAUACUAGUCGUAAAGAUUUAAUAAAAACAUUUCAUGAAUAAAAACAUUCCAUUUAGAUGAUUUGAAUUCAAAAAAAUCACUUACUCCCAAUAUUUGGACAUCUGAAAAUUCACUUUCUCAUUUCUCUCGUCUUGUGUUUUCUCCUUUACCUUCCUUCUCGACAUCCCUUUCUCUCUCCACAUUUUGUCUCUCUUCACUUUCUCGCACUUUUUUUUUUCUUUUUUACUCUCUUCACUUUCUCUCUCAUUCCUUCAUAUUUUUUGCAUUUUCUCUCUUCACUUUUCUCUCCUCCUUCCUCUCACCGUCGCUUUCCCCUUAUUUCUUUCUUCUCUCUCUUUACUUUCAUUCAUGACACAACCAAAUAUCAAAUUUUUUACAGGAGUAACAUUUACUCCAUGAAAUGUUACAGGGGGAAUAUGUUUAAUUCCCAAACUUUUAACCCCAUAUGAAAUUAGCCCUAAAAUUAAUUUGAUUUUGGCUGAUCAAAAUAUAACACCAUAAUGACUUAUCAUCUAAGUACUUAUAUUUAUGUCAUAUUUGGUAAUUAAGAAGAAAUUGCUUAACCUUUCGCAUUAAAAUAGAACAAAUUUAUGUACUUUAUCAAUAUUAUCUUUUGCUAUAGAAUCUGUAAAGGAAAAAUUGCCUGUAUAGAAGAAUGUAUGAUUUUUUUACUGACAAUAUUCUGAUAGUUUUCAUGUAAUAAAUAGUAAAAAAAAUUGGAAUAGAUUAACCUCAUAGCGCAUCUGACAAAGUUUCAAACAUUUCCUAACCCGCGAUUGUAGAAAUGAGGGGCAGUAUAUUCAAUAUCCACAUACAAAUUGAAAUAGAUUAACCUCAUAUGAAAUUGGCCGGGUUAUUUUUGUUGCUCUGUGGUACAGUUUUAUCACAACGCUUAUAAUAAAAGCUAAGUGUAAUAUUAGUUAUAAGGCUUAUAACGUCAUAUUAACAGGUAGGUAAGAAAACACUGACCUCAUGAUCGCCACCUUGGCCUCCCUCAGCAGGAAUACUGCCAGGAUGAUCAGGAGGAUGAACAAGGACAGCAAGCAAGUUUUUCCCAUCAGGAUGAAGAACGUCAGUAAUAUCGAGUGUAUGUCUGCGAAACAUCCCUUUAGGAAGUAUUUCUUUAUGUCCAUUAAAGUACACUUCUGAAGAGUAAUUAAUUGCACGGAAAUUGAGGUUGACAUGCUGAUUCCCUGACUGAACAGUAAUCACAAUUAAAACAAUUAUUGGGUUAUUUGCAAGUACAGAACAUAAUCAUCAGAACAUACAUAGAGAGAAACAAAACAGUUAAGGUUUUAGUAUUGUCGACAUCAAAUUGCCAAACAUCCUACAAGACAAAUAGAGUACUCAAAACAAACUAAGAAAAAGAAAAGGUUACUAGAAAACUUGGACAUUAAAAAGUAAAACAGACCAAUCACUAUUACAUUCUCUGCAAACGGAAAAAUAUCUAACUAAAUUAAGAAUGCUAGAGCUAUCACCUAGUAGGUGAUUUCACAUAAUUGAGUUAUUGAAUUGAGAAUGAAUCAGAUCCAUAAUCUCAAUGCACCAGGAUAGACGGAGUAUCGUUGAAGUAAUUCGAAGGCACCAGUGAAUGUGCAUCGUCUGUAACCUACUUCCAAUUGCAUAUGUGACCAAUAGUCCCGCAUCAAAUAAUGUCGGAGAAUGUGAGGGUUAUAUAUGUGAGGGGCACACUAGAACGAAUAACUGAGCUUAAGCAUUUGAGCCGGUGGUUUAGGCCCAACAAUUAUUAGUGCUAACGGGUUGGAUCGUUACAGCAUAAUUAUAGGAAAACUUAAUUACUGAACAACUAUGCACUAAAGGAAGAUUCAACAAAUUAAAAACAACAUUGGACUGAUAGUGUAAUACCCCAUAUUUUUAUUUUUAUUUAUUUGAUAGAGGAGAAUUAUUUUGCUCAACUUAAAAAAUCUAGGAAUAUAUGUGCAAUUAUAUAACCCUAAUUAAUAAAAAGGCUCCUAAUCUCUCUUUUUCUCCCCAACCGGCCAUUCUCUCUCCUUCUCUUGUUCAACCUCAUCAGCAUGCGUGCCUUUCAUGCACACGCGCGAUAUCUCUCUUUUCCUCGUACAAUUAUCGAUCUCGUCUUUCGACGCCGCCUCAACCGCUGUACUCCUUGAUCUUCGUCGGUUUCGUUUUGUUUGUAGCUAUUAGAUCGUCAGAGACAUCUCGUUCGUAGUCGUUUCGUUCAUCAUCAUUGAAAAGGUUCCGUUGAUUAAGUUGAUGCCUAUGUUUGAUCGAACGAUACUUAGAUUAUUUAGAGGUAAGUGACCUAAUGCCUAUUAGUUUGUUUUUGAUAAAAAAAUUGUAGAAAUAUAUUACGGUAACAAAAAUUCCUUUUUGUAUAUUUUUCCAAAAUAAGGGUUAAGCGUGCUUAUAUAAAUUACAAAUUGUUGAAAGAGAAAAAUUAAUAAGUAUUGAUUUGACUGUUGUGCAGUUUUUAGAAUAUGUUCUUUAGAAAUGUGCUUAUUUGAUAAAAUUUCAGCAUUAAUAAUUUAUUUUCUUCUUAAUUGUUGACUGAGUAAAUAAUUUUGAAGUCAUGAUGCCUCUUGGGAUAUUCCUAUAAUGAUGUUGGCCAUGUCGACAAGAAUUUUAUGAUAGAAGCUAGCUUCGAUUUUGUGAUGUACUUCCGAGUGCAAUUUUGUGACACGCCUUCGGGUGCAAUUUUGUAACGCGCCUUCGAGUGCAAUUUUGUGAUGCGUCUUUGGGUGCAAUUUUGUGAUGCGCCACUGGGUGGUACUUAGAUUCAUCUUCAGGUGCUUUCACUUUGUGAUCGUGCCUUCGGUGUAAGGUACCGGACUUCAAAAAAUUAUGAAGUUACGGUGUACACUUGGUUGGGAAGCCAUAUGAAUGGUUCCGGUGAAGUUCGGUGAGGUUUGGGAGCAUUCGGGCGUUUCGGUGCGCGUAGGCGCGAAAACGGAACCCGAAAGGGUAUGUUGGGCCGUGAACUAAAUCCGGCAUUAACAGGGAUGAAGAGAUGAUGAAAACACGCUCGAAAACAUGUUUGGAGAGUCUCGGUUCGAUUUGAAAAGAAUCGGAGGUCAAACGAGCGAAAACGAGCGAAAACGAAGAAGAAACAGUGAAAAAGCUGAAAAUUUGGCUAAGUCCUAAAAUGCUAGAAUUCUGGACCUACGGGGACCGAUCCCUCAAGUCCAAGGACCGGUCCCCUAUACAAAAAAGUGCCCCGCGAGGGGCAAUGCACUAAAUGCAUUGUUGGAGGGGUUUUUGGCAAAAUUGCAUUAGUUGGAGCUACAAGAGGGGUCUAGGGCUUGUUUUCUCUCAUUUUCCUCCACCCUCUCACCCUAAGACACCUCUCUCUCUCUCUAGAAGCUCUCUCUCUCUCAUCAAGGAAGGAAAGGAGAGGAGGGAUUGGCGGAGAAGAAGCAAAGAAAGAAGAACUUCAUCUUCUUCCCUUGGCCAUUGGAGCUUGUUUGAGGUAAGCUUUAUACCCUCUAAUGGUAGAUCCUUAGAGAUGGGUUUUUAAGCUCUAGAAUUGGAUUUGGGUGAACCCUAGCAUGCUAGGGAGUUGAUUGAUGCCUGAAUCUAGAGGCUACAUGAUGGAUUUUUGCAUAGUGAAUACCUAGGGCUCAAAAUGGGGGUUUUGAGAAAUCUAGGGUUUUGAUCUAAAUUGAAUGAUUGUAAACCUAAUUGCUAGGUAUUCUGACGCGUUGGCGAAGACGGUCCGUCGAUUCGUCGAGCGGUUGCGAAGAUAUUGAAGGAAAAGCUUCUUUUGGUUCAGAUUGCCGCAGUUCGCGGCGCAGGCUUCCUAAAAUCACAAAAACGGAACCCUAGCCUCGUGGUAGCGAUAAAAGGUGGGGGGUGUCAUCCCGAAGCAACUGGGCUUCUCCUUAUGUCUAAGUAUCUCUAUGUUGAUCAAUUAUGCAUAUUGAGCAUGAUGCAUUAUAGGGUGCUCGGUUAGUGUUAUUACAUAUUCUUGCAUGCUAGUAUAAUAUAGUGUUGUUGGCUUCGAUACUUGUACCUAGUAUGCAUCUGAUUGGGACAUAGUGUAGUGAAACCCUAUAAUGACAAGAUUAAUGUGGAUACUCUAGUUGAAAGAACACCUAGUCGUUGUGUACAAUUAGAGUAUUGAGAACGAGUGACAUCUAGUUAAUGUUAAACUUGACGAGUGGCAUGAUAAGUAAAGUAUAGAGAAAAUACUUGUCGUAGGUGGAACCUAGGGAUGAGCUAGUUCCCAAGUGAUGUUGUCUAGAGUGGUAGGGUAUCCUCGGUGACGGGGAUUUGAUCAUACUCAUAUAUCUAUUCGAAGCUUGGUGUGGUCGCUCCACACAAGCAGUGCACUUCGAAGUUGUCACAUAAUAGGGAUAGCCUUUCUGGGUCCCAAGGGAUAGCCUUUAUGGGUCCCGCAGACAGUCUUGGGAGAGUGAGCUGAUCCUUCCCAGGUGAGUAGGGUGAGUGAGCUGAUCCUUACCUGUGAGAUAGAGAUUGGGUUGUGGUACCUGUGUUGAGUUGGGCGAGUGAGCGGAUCCUCCCCGUAGAGAGUGUGUGAGUGUUGUGAGUCGGCUGAGUGAGCGGAUCCUCCCCUUUGUGACUAGAUUGUGAGUCGGGCGAGUGAGCGGAUCCUCCCCGUAGAGAGUGUGAGUGUUGUGAGUCGGGCGAGUGAGCGGAUCCCCCCCUGUGUGACUGAGUAGACGUGUGUGACUUCUUGACAUAGUAUCAUGUGGUAGAUUGCAUAUUAUACAUUUGACUAUUGAUAGCACAGUAGAUCUUAGUUGCAGUUCAAUAUCUAUCUAUCUAUCUAUCUAUCUAUCUGUGCCAGCUUAGACCUAGUGGGAAGAUCGGCAGAGUCGGCGGCCAAACCCACUGGGAACUAUAUUUAUAUAGUUCUCACCCCGUGUGGUUUUGGGGUAUAGGUACACACGAGAGCGGACCGGCAGUUGAUCGCGGUAAGGGCUUAGCGCCCUAGAGGUUGUAGUAGUAGCUUUCUUACCCUUUGCAUUAGAGCUACCUUGUACAUACUUGAGAGUAGAUGAUGUAUAGGUGUGAGAUAUUUUGGGAAAUUAUAAACUUUAAGUUUAUGUUGUAUUUUGGAAGAAUAUAAAGUAAUCAAAUGUAUUAAAGUUGAAUGGAUGUAAUAGAUUAGUAUCUCUCUUUUAUUCACUUGUUUAUUACUUGUGAUGCUUGCUCUUUAGUUAAUUAGCACUGAUUGUGCUCUCGCUGUUGUUGUCUGAUUGUGUAUGUAAUCAAGUUGUUUUCCUCGGCACUUGUGUACACAAUCUCGUUGUUUAGCCGUGGGCGGACAGGAGAGGUGCUGUCUAUUCGGCGUCUGUCCGACGCGCCCGAACCGGCCAAAGUGGUAGCGGUUUCGGGGCGUGACAGUUGUGGUAUCAGAGCGAGUUAAGAGCAAGCAAAGAGAGAGUCUAGGAUGGACCUAAGAGACCCUAGGACGGUUUACCCUAAGGUUAUAGGUGCGUGAGUGCGACGUGAACCUAUGACGGCGGCGGAAGUUGAUUGAUUGGGUCGAAGUUGGUGUUGAGACUCUAGUAGUUGCUAGAGACGAUUCAAGUAGUACUAGUUCUUGGCUUAAGGUGGUUGUGUUGGCGGCCGACAACACGAUGCCGAGAGUCAAGAGCUAGUAUGCUUGUGAACUUCCGCCUGAUUUGUGUUGUUGAAACGUUUUAUCGCGUAAUUGCGAGAAGUUGUUGGGUUGAGGUGAUUAACCGAUUUAUUGCGUUUCAGGAGCUAAUGUCCCCGAGACGCUACGAACGUAGAUCCGUUCCGGCACAGCCUCCUGAGGUGCCAGAGCAAGCUGGAUCAAGCGAAGUGCAGGAGUUGCGGGAGCAGGUAGCUGCACUUGUUGGCGCGAUGCAACGCCAAGAGAGUAGGAUCGAGCGGCUCCAAGAGUUAUUGGAGCAACAAGUGGCUGCGGCGGCCGCGACAGCAGGUCAAGGCCAUGGCCCACCCGCACCCUCGGCGCGCGCGCCUGAGGCGGCUGACGGUGAGGGCAUUGCGGCAGCUCCGGUGGCGGCACGUCCCCCGCCGGCGAGUGUUCCUCCAGCGGCAUCGGGUUCUGCGACACUCGGUGCGGCGGCCGAGGAGAUAGAGCGAGACCGUGGCUACACGGCUCUCACAAGGUUUAUGAAGUUCCACCCUCCGAUGUUCCACGGUGAAGUGGUUGAUCCCUGGACAGUAGAGACAUGGUUGGCCGCAAUGGAAACCCUGUUCGAGGACAUCUACACCGCGGAGCGUGAUAAGGUGCCUUUAGCCGCGCAUUGCUUCGAUAAGCGGGCCAGAGUGUGGUGGCGGAGAGUGAAGCAGGAUCGAUCUUCGGACCUUCCCCCGAUUGAUUGGGAGGAGUUCCGAAGGUUGAUGUUUGCGGAGUACUUUUCGGACAGUGAGAAGCGGAAGAUGCGAGAGGACUUCCGGAAGCUAAAGCAGGGCAACCGCAUAGUUCGGGAGUAUGAGCGGGAGUUCACCCAUCUCCUGAACUGUGUCCCGGACGUGGCGAGAACUGAGAAAGACCGGGCAGAGUGCUUUGUGCGAGGACUUCGUCCCGGAGUGUUCCGAUUGGUGCAUGCGUUUAAGUUCCGCACCUUCGCGGAAGUGUUGGACCGUGCCUUAUGGGUUGAGCACGGAAACGCUUGCGAACGAGAAGAGCGUGAGGCGUCCGAGAAGGACAAGGGGAAGAAGCGACAGGGCGGUGGUUCUGGAGGUCAAUCGAGUUCCAAGAAGCCCCCGAAGUACCCGCGAGAGCAGUCCGAGGACCGUGAAGUGCAGCAGUGCGUCUUUUGUGGUGGAGACCACUGAAUGACGCAAUGUGAGCAUCGCCGAGGGAGGUGUUAUGAAUGUGGCCAGGCGGGGCACAUGGCCCGUGAUUGCUCGAGAAAGGCUUUGGUUGCCCCGUCUGUCGCAUCGGCUCCGACAGUUCCAGGCCAUUAUGGCAGAGCCCCACCUAUGGUUGCGUCGGCUGGACGUGCCUUGGCGCCACGUCAGCCUGAGGCGACCCGAUCUGCUCCAAGUGGUCGGGUGUACGUCGCUCAAGUCAAGGAGCCUGCUGCUGCAGAUGAUGUCAUGGCAGGUAUGGUUUAGUUGAAGCAAGUAUAUACCUUUGCAUGAUAUUAAGUAAGUGCAUUGCAUGCAUUGUAGUUGUGGUCAUUUGUUACUACUUAUUCAUAAGCAUAGUAGAGACCAGAGCAUGGGUCGGUGUAGUUACCCUAGCAUGCACGAGUUGUGAUGGUACGUUGCUUACCUCGAAUUGUCGAGGGCAGAGAUUUUUGGUUAAGGCGAUAGUCCGAGGUUAGGUUCGGGAGCGAGAGUGUCACGUAUUGGAUCUCGAGAUCAAGCACGCAUUAAGAGUGCGAUGGUGACCCAACCCGACGAAUUGUAGUGGUUUGAGGUCUUAAUUGCUCCUGGUCGGAAUGUGUGCGAAUUCCAAAGUGAGAAUUUCGCCCAGUUAUGAUUGGGUCAACGCUUGCGAGCGAGAGACGUCGCGAGUGUCGAGAUGGUUGGGCUAUAGGACUGGGUAAAGUUAGUGACUGUUGGUCCACAUGUGGAAAUCGAUGUGAUCGGUUUGGCCAAUAACUCUGUCGAGGAGUUUGGCUUGGAUUUGCGAACAGAGAGUUCGUGUGAGUUUGUUGUAGAGCGAUUGAAGUUGGAAGUGGCAAUGGAGAGGUAAGAUAAAGUGGUCUCUUGGAGACACUUGAAUGCCAGAUAGCCAGAUAGAGUUGAGAAAGUUGCUCUCUUGAGGAUUAACAUUGAAGAUGGACCAAAUUGUGCCACCUCGCAAUAGAGCAAGAUCCGGAUGUGAUGGUAGCACUCGCGGUCGAUCGACGCACCAAUAAUAUUGCCUCUAGGCAAUGCCGGUGAUCGACUCGGAACGUGUUCCCCGAUUAGGAGAGUAGUGCAAGGAGAAAUUUCUUGCAUGGUAGUAAUGCACUUUUGGUGUUGCACGUAGCAAAUGUGAGUGAACUUGGUCUCACGUCCUCCGUAGUGGUCCUUUGGAUAGUUCCGACGAGUGGAAGGCCACCCCGGAGUGCGAAAGUACAUUGGAAUCCUUGAUUACUCAAUGAGUUGAGUUGAGGUGUGAGUUGGAUUUGAGGUUAGUUUCGAGGACGAAACUGCUUUUAAAGAGGGGAGGAUGUAAGGUACCGGACUUCAAAAAAUUAUGAAGUUACGGUGUACACUUGGUUGGGAAGCCAUUUGAAUGGUUCCGGUGAAGUUCGGUGAGGUUUGGGAGCAUUCGGGCAUUUCGAUGCGCGUAGGCGCAAAAAUGAAACCCGAAAGGGUAUGUUGGGUCGUGAACUAAAUCCGGCAUUAGCAGGGAUGAAGAGAUGAUGAAAACACGCUCGAAAAUAUGUUUGGAGAGUCUCGGUUCGAUUUGAAAAGAAUCGGAGGUCAAACGAGCGAAAACGAGUGAAAACGGAGAAGAAACGGUGAAAAAGCUGAAAAUUUCGCUAAGUCCUAAAAUGCUAGAAUUCUGGACCUACGGGGACCGAUCCCUCAAGUCCAAGGACCGAUCCCCUAUACAAAAAAGUGCCCCGCGAGGGGCAAUGCACUAAAUGCAUUGUUGGAGGGGUUUUUGGCAAAAUUGCAUUAGUUGGAGCUACAAGAGAGGUCUAGGGCUUGUUUUCUCUCAUUUUCCUCCACCCUCUCACCCUAAGACACCUCUCUCUCUCUCUAGAAGCUCUCUCUCUCUCAUCAAGGAAGGAAAGGAGAGGAGGGAUUGGCGGAGAAGAAGCAAAGAAAGAAGAACUUCAUCUUCUUCCCUUGGCCAUUGGAGCUUGUUUGAGGUAAGCUUUAUACCCUCUAAUGGUAGAUCCUUAGAGAUGGGUUUUUAAGCUCUAGAAUUGGAUUUGGGUGAACCCUAGCAUGCUAGGGAGUUGAUUGAUGCUUGAAUCUAGAGGCUACAUGAUGGAUUUUUGCAUAGUGAAUACCUAGGGCUCAAAAUGGGGGUUUUGAGAAAUCUAGGGUUUUGAUCUAAAUUGAAUGAUUGUAAACCUAAUUGCUAGGUAUUCUGACGCGUUGGCGAUGACGGUUCGUCGAUUCGUCGAGCGGUUGCGAAGAUAUUGAAGGAAAAGCUUCUUUUGGUUCAGAUUGCCGCAGUUCGCGGCGCAGGCUUCCUAAAAUCACAAAAACGGAACCCUAGCCUCGUGGUAGCGAUAAAAGGUGGGGGGUGUCAUCCCGAAGCAACUGGGCUUCUCCUUAUGUCUAAGUAUCUCUAUGUUGAUCAAUUAUGCAUAUUGAGCAUGAUGCAUUAUAGGGUGCUCGAUUAGUGUUAUUACAUAUUCUUGCAUGCUAGUGUAAUAUAGUGUUGUUGGCUUCGAUACUUGUACCUAGUAUGCAUGUGAUUGGGACAUAGUGUAGUGAAACCCUAUAAUGACAAGAUUAAUGUGGAUAGACUCUAGUUGAAAGAACACCUAGUCGUUGUGUACAAUUAGAGUAUUGAGAACGAGUGGCAUCUAGUUAAUGUUAAACUUGACGAGUGGCAUGAUAAGUAAAGUAUAGAGAAAAUACUUGUCGUAGGUGGAACCUAGGGAUGAGCUAGUUCCCAUGUCACGCCCCGCGACCACCCGCCUAUUUGGCCGGGUCGCGGCGCCGUCAACAGACUGCCGAACGGACAGAGUUUCCCCUGUACGUCCUAGGCGUUGCAAUCAAAACAAUAUACAAAUGUUCCAACCACGAACUGAUAUCAAUCAAGAUUGCAGAAGGAAGUAUCAAUAACAUAAGCUACUUGCUAUUACAAGCAUUCAUUUCAUACAAUAUUUUUCUUUUACAUUUGCUUAACUUUCAAGUACAAUUACAUUUAAUACAAGUUGGUUGUUGUCAUUCCAUUCUAACCCCUAGGCCCUGCUGACUCGGGGUACUGCUAGCUCUGGUCUCCGGGAUAGGGCGCUAUUUAUGAAGCUACGCCCUCGCCUCGUGCUGCCGCGCCGCUCACGUGCGAACCUGUAACACCCCAAAACAAUGUGGGGUGAGAACCAACUCCAUGGUUUCCAGUGGGUACGGCCACCCAAGGGAAAAGCUCGACCAAUAGGUCCGAGGAGGCACUGCAACAUGUUAGUUCAACAAUAUACAACAGAUAUAUAUAUUCAAUUGAAAUACAUGCCAUGCCUCACAAUAUACGAUAUGAAAAUCAUGCAACUCUAUGCAACAACUAGUAGAUCAACUGAUCCUACACUUUACUUGGCUAUUCUUAGCUCGUACCCUAAGGCUUCUACUACCUCGGGUUCAUACUCAAGUCCACUGGCUUCUAAGGUCUCUAUUACCUUAGCUCAAGCCUCUAUCUCUAGCUCAUAAGGGUUCCACUACCCCAUCGAAGCUAACCAUCCGACUCGGCUUCGGGUCAAUCAUCCGCGGAUAGUCCGCGCACUGACUGCUCAUCAUCCUACGGCCCUCUAAACUCAGCCUCUUAGCGGCGAAGUCGUCGCACGCGCUGAACUCGGCUCUAGUCACUUGACAUAGCCAUUCUAGCGGCGAACACGGCGUUCUUACCCAGCGAGGACUCGAGUCAUGAAAUAACCAUCUGGCGGCGAACGUAUCGCACCUGACCGAACAACGGUUCAAGUCACGACUCAGCCACCUGGCGGCGCACGCAUCGUUCUUACCCAACAAUGGUUUCAGUCAAUCCUGGCGGUCUAAUCCUCAAUCCGCUCAACCAUCCGGCAGCGAAAUCGUCGCACAAACGCCACGUCAAUAGUUAAAGCCCCAGGCGGUGAUCUCCAUGUAAUCGCCCCCCAAUCUUUCCUCGGUAUCAACCUCGGCAGCGAAGUCGUCGCACACGCCCUAGCCUUGAUACCAGGGUCAUCACAAAUCCUGGGAUUCCAGAAUCCACUUUCCAUAGGUCGAGGGUCCAUAGCCAACCCUAUACUGUCGACCUAGCUCAUCCUAGCGGCUAGUACCACUAUACUCAACAACCUAGGUUCCAACACUCUAGGUUCUAUGUUCAUGUCAUAUAACCUAGAUACAAUCUCUAGGUUCUCGUCAUCUUUACCUAGAUGUCCACUUCUAGGUUUACUAGAUCGACCUAUGUUUGCUAACACUAGGUUCGAUGCCACACCUAGACUUGUUCAACUCUAGGUUCACUCGUUUAACCUAUGUUCUUUAACACUACGUUAGGUGCCACUCGAUCUAAUUGACAUCCUAGUUGUCCAAUCGAGUCUCACUACCAAUCAACUCUACACUUCUAGAGUUAUCAUCUAUUUACAUGCAUAUAUAUAUAUAUAUAUAUAUGUAUGUAUACAUAUAUAUAUAUAUAUAUGUAUGUAUACAUAUAUAUAUAUAUAUAUGUAUGUAUAUAUAUAUAUAUAUAUAUAUGUAUGUAUAUAUAUAUAUAUGUGUGUGUGUGUAUUCAUGCUACUCAUGCACUCAUGCGAUCCUCUAGCAUGUAUACAUCAUGUUCAUUAUGCCUUCUACUUAGCAUUUUAAUAUAUGCAUCAUCUACGUCAUUUUAUUAACAUGCAUCAAUAUGAAACCAUAUGUUCUUAGACAUAAAGGGCAACCUAGUUGCUUCGGUAAGCACAACCCACCUUAGCUAGCUUUCCGAUUGCUCGUCGACACUUGCAAUCGGCCUCCCACGGCACUCGGCACCCGUUUGGGCCCGAUCUCACAGUUCUCUCCAAGAGCGCGCCGCUUCGCCGUUUCAACUGCUAAAGGUCUUCGCCUCGCCGUUACGAUGCUCGGACCCGAUUUCAUGAUUUAUGGACGUCGCCUCGGCCUUCCAGGCGGAAACGAAGCUCCAAGCGUCCGUUUCUUCAAUAUCUUUGUAACGGCUCGUCGAAUUGCCGAACCAUCUUCGCCAACUUGUUUCGUUACCUACCUAUUAGAUUUAUGAAGGGUCAAAUGAGAUCAAACUCUCACAUAUACCAAAACCCCAUUUUGUAUGCCCUAGAUGCUAUUGCUACCAAAUCCACCAAAUCGAUCCAUGAAAUGGGGAAAAACCAUCUAAAUAGCAUACUAGGGUUCCCCUCAAACCAACUUUAGGGAUCAAAAACCUAUCUCUAAGGAUCUACCAUGAGAGAGUACCAAGCUUACCUCUCUAGGCUUGCUCCAAUAGAGAGAAGAAGAUGAAGAGGAUGAAGAUGAGAGAGAGGAUCUUCUUCUUGGUCCUCUUCUCCUUCCUCUUCUCUUUUCUUUUUCUUCUUCUUCUUUCUCCCUUCCCUUCUUUUCCUUUUCCUCCUCACGAUCGGAGAGAGAGAGAGAGACAGUGAGGGAGAGUGUGAGGGAGUGAGAGAGAGAGAGAGAACACCUCUCUAAUACCCUCUCAUAUUGUAACAAAAUCCCCACAAGCCCCUCAACUUUUCAUCUCUUACACAGCCCUCACUGUGCGUUCUGCGCGCGGAGGGACCGGUCUCCCCGACCUGGGACCGGUCCCCGAGAGCUCCCCCCGACAUCACGCGUUCGGGAACCGGUCUCUCCCCGAGAGACCGGUCCCCCGGAGACCAGUCCGCCCACCAGAGACCAGUCCCCGAGAGCUCAUCUCGCAGGACUUGGCCAAUUUUGGCCAUUCUCGCUGGUGUCGCCUGCGGGGAUCGGUCCCCCUGCUGCCAGGGACCGGUUGCCUCAGCAACCCCGCAACCCUCGGCUGAUGGGACCGGUCUCUCCAGCCAGAGACCGGUCCCCAAGAGCAAAUCUGCCAAAGAUGCAGAUUUUGCAUCCUCGCUCUCGCGGACUCCAUUCCAAUGCACUUAUUGGGUUUCGUGCAUCAUUAGCUUUUCCAAAACUUAUCAACUCGACCAUUAGUCGAUUCUGGACGAAGUGCAACUCUCGGAUUUCGAGAAUUCACAUUGUUACAUCCCAAGUGAUGUUGUCUAGAGUGGUAGGGUAUCCUCAGUGACGGGGAUUUGAUCAUACUCAUAUGUCUAUUCGAAGCUUGGUGUGGUCGCUCCACACAAGCAGUGCACUCCGGAGUUGUCACAUGAUAGGAAUAGCCUUUCUGGGUCCCGAGGGAUAGCCUUUAUGGAUCCCACAGACGGUCUUGGGAGAGUGAACUGAUCCUUCCCAGGUGAGUAGGGUGAGUGAGCUGAUCCUCACCUGUGAGAUAGAGAUUGGGUUGUGGUACUUGUGUUGAGUCGGGCGAGUGAGCGGAUCCUCCCCGUAGAGAGUGUGUGUGUUGUGAGUCGGCUGAGUGAGCGGAUCCUCCCCGUUGUGACUAGAUUGUGAGUCGGGCGAGUGAGCGGAUCCUCCCCGUAGAGAGUGUGUGUGUAUUGUGAGUCGGGCGAGUGAGCGGAUCCUCCCCGUAGAGAGUGUGUGUGUUGUGAGUCGGGCGAGUGAGCGGAUCCUCCCCUGUGUAACUGAGUAGACGUGUGUGACUUCUUGACAUAGUAUCAUGUGGUAGAUUGCAUAUUAUGUUGUAGUUCAUACAUUUGACUAUUGAUGGCACAGUAGAUCUUAGUUGCAGUUCAAUAUCUAUCUAUCUAUCUAUCUAUCUAUCUAUCUAUCUGUGCCAGCUUAGACCUAGUGGGAAGAUCGGCAGAGUCGGCGGCCGAACACACUGGGAACUAUAUUUAUAUAGUUCUCACCCCGUGUGGUUUUGGGGUACAGGUACACACGAGCGGACCGGCAGUUGAUCGCGGUAAGGGCUUAGCGCCCCAGAGGUUGUAGUAGUAGCUUUCUUACCCUUUGCACUAGAGCUACCUUGUACAUACUUGAGAGUAGAUGAUGUAUAGGUGUGAGAUAUUUUGGGAAAUUGUAAACUUUAAGUUUAUGUUGUAUUUUGGAAGAAUGUAAAGUAAUCAAAUGUAUUAAAGUUGAAUGGAUGUAAUAGAUUAGUAUCUCUCUUUUAUUCACUUAUUUAUUACUUGUGAUGCUUGCUCUUUAGUUAAUUAGCACUGGUUGUGCUCUCGCUGUUGUUGUCUGAUUGUGUAUGUAAUCAAGUUGUUUUCCUGGGCACUUGUGUACACAAUCUCGUUGUUUAGCCGUGGGCGGACAGGGAAGGUGCUGUCCAUUCGGCGUCUGUCCGACGCGCCCGAACCUGCCAAAGUUGUAGCGGUUUCGGGGCGUGACAUUCGGUGUCUGUAAUGUGCGUUUAGAAUCUCAGCCAACGGGUUGCUAUUUACUGGAGACUUUCAUUUUGAAUUCUAAUUUUUAAAAUAAGAAUUCUUUUGUUAAAAUUCUAUCCCUCUUAAUCUUUUGUAAAACAUGCGUGUUCAAGAAUCAAAAUUCUGAAACGUGAUUUGUAAAAUUUUGUGAAACUCAGUCAUUACUAUUAUAUUUUCAGUAUGAAAAUUUACAUCUAAUUAUUUAGAAAGUUUUCUGUUUUGCAUGCUUAAUCCAACUAAUGUGGUGUAUGGUUUCUUACCCAGGUUUCAAAACUCUUUUGCCGGGAGAGGGUGGGACCGAGUGAACGCUAGUCGUAGUUUGUUGUUUGAGUUGCUUUCUUUUGUUAUUUUGUCUAUGUAGUAGUUGGAUGUUAAGUGGGUUUUCGUGGAUUAUCAUCUGAUUUAUUCAUUUUGGUUUUGUUCUUUUUUUCUAUACCGCAUAUUUAGUGAAUUUUGUGACUAUCGUUUUGCCUGAUUCUUUGUUAGGUUCUGUAGCCUUACAUAUUUGCAAUCUAGCAGGCAUGUGGCGGCUGUUACCACCUCAAAUUUGGGGCGUGUAGAUAGUUUGCCUCACAUUAUUGAAGACAGGUUCAUUUCAAAAUCUAGAUGUCUUGUAAAAGCCGUAAUUGAUGUUUUAGACUUCUCUACCUUUAAUGUUUUCAGAGAAGAAUCAGUAAUGGAGGGAAAAUUCUAAGGCAAAUCUUAUAAAACAUUAGUUUGGCAAUAUUGAUAAGUUACUAUCAUCUUCAGCUAACUUAAAUGUGCUAUAGCAUCUCUACAAGAACAAGAAAAAUUAGACGAGAUAUAACUAAUUCACAAGUCAAUUCGUGAAGUAAAAUCAGUAUGGAAGAAGCAGUCAAGAAAUUUAUCCUCCAUAAAUUGUACUGUACAAUCAAUUCCAGCUUCCCCUUUAGGAUCCUUUGAUCAAUCAAUUAGCAUGCCAAGCAUAUCAACCCUUAACAAAUAAGCAGAUAGAACGAUCUAAAAAAAGACAUUAAACAUAUGUUAAAUGAGAACAUCUCUUUAAACUGCAAACUAUUGAUAUGCAUUGAAAGUAUAAGAAUGGAAACUGUUAAUUUAAAGUUUAAGAUAUAACAUAUUUAUCAAGUGAAAACUGAAAAUAACAAGAACGCAAUUAGCAAGACCAUAAUACAACACAAUAAGAAGGCUCAUGCAGAAGGAUGCAUACCACUUUACAUUCAAAUGUUGUGAAGAACCAAAAUGUGUAGUAGUCCCUUCCAGAGUCAGCAAUAUCUAUAAUUGCUUCAUUGUUUAGGCCGUAGAAAGGAUCUGGCACCAACUUGUUCUUUAGCAAGGUUCCCAAGAUGCUGAAACACCAUUAAGACCGAGAUUCAGUUUUGACAAUCGAGGGAAAAUUCAAUAUUUACACAGAAAAACCCACAUAUUCAAGAGCAUAACCUUAGAUAAAAGCAAAAAGGACCACCAAAAAUCAGAAGGAAGCAACUAUAAAACAUAAGAUGACUAAUACAUACUUCAAACCAAUAUAUUUGACAUGCACUAUUAUAUUAAUGUUCAUGGGAACACAGUUUGUUAAUGUAAAGGUUUCAAGGUUUGAGAUGCUACAGGGAGUGAGUAGAAUAUCUAAAGACGUGAAUAGAACCAGUAUGAAAAAAACAUGUUGGCAACAGAUUAGUGGGAUAAGGUUUCCUCUUUAAAAAGUUUCAUCCAAAUAACAAAAUAUGGUUCAAAAUCUUCAGGGUUAGCAGUUUCAAAGCUUCUAAAAUAGGAGACAUGUAAAAGUAGCAAACAAGGAACUUGUUACAGUCCUGAAAAGUUAAAAGGGGAAACAAAUUCUUUUUAUAUGAUUAGUAACGUAAUAGGAUUGAUAUUAUAAUACAUAAGAAAUACAACAAGGGAGACGAGUUCUUUUAUUAAACAAACGAAAAUUAGAUAAGCACUAAAAAAGAAACGAGAUGAUAGGAUAAGUAGAUGUAGAAGCUCCCACAAUAAAAUCUAGUAAAAUACUAAGGCUUUGUUUGGUUUCGUUGUCUUUCUAUUAAUUACAAAUUUCAUGUCAUGGGAUAAGGUGGCCAAUGGACUUCUUUAUUCUCGCCAUUGUUGGUUAGCCUGCAAUGUGCCCCAUCGAGAUGUAGAGUGGCAUCUUCUUCAGAGAAAAGUAAGAGGCAAAAGGGUAAAAGGGAAAUAUAUAUAUAUAGAGGGUAUGGUAUUAUUAAAUUAUAGAUAUUAUUGGCUGUUUUGGUCGAAAUGUUAUGCCGCCUCUGGCGAACUUUGAUUUAAAAAUAGCCUGGUCAGGAUUGGUAUAUUGUCCGAAGAAAUGCUCUGCUUAGGCCGUGGUCGAUCGGGGUGGGGUGCGUCAGGCGCUUCGUGACGUUCAGCUGCUCUUAUUAUUUUACGGCGUGUGUUGUGGUUUGGGUUUGGUGGAAAGUGUUCUUGCUGUUGCCAGUGUGUUAACGUGUGAAUUGGUGUCAGUACUGUGUGAAUAGUCUAGUCAUUGUCCGUUUUUCACAUUAUCGUCGGUGUAGUUUAUCUUAUCUGGGUUUGGGAAGGUUUGGAUUCAUCCGUGGGGUCAAUAUGUAUAUUUUCUUUUUUUUCUUCUUUAUUUAUCUAACUUUUUUCUGAAGUUGAUAUUGCUGUUUUUUGUUUUUUAGAUAGAAUCCGUAAAUCGUUGUACGUAUCCUGAAUAUAUUAUUUGCAUAUUUAAUAUUUAUCUCUCAACUAUCUUUUUUUUGUUUGUUUUUUUUUGGAAAUUUCUCGUAUACGUGUGUUUCUCUUUUGUCUUUCGGUGUUUAAAAAUCGCGAUUAUCGCAUAUCCAGAUAUUUUAAGGAUUUUAUACUGGUGUAUUGUGAUUUUUUUUAAAUAUCUCUGUGGCGGCGGGAUUUCGGGUGUGAUUUUUUAAUUAUUUUAUGGUUUUCGUUAUUCGGGUUGGAAACGCUUGGUAUGUGCAAAGUCCGUACCGUUGACUUAUCUGCUUCUAUAUAGAGGAGAAGAAAAUAGGGAUAUUAUAUUGAUCAUGAGAUAUCUUUUAUGUCUGGUGAAUGUAUUUCACUUGUUGAAUAGCUGUGAAUGUUUCCAUCGCUUGUUUCAUCGUAACCUUUUCUUGGCUCCAGUCUUCCAUACCGUCUCGCUAUUUUUGUGUCGCCUGUGUCGUAGCGCUGUGGCAGGGCAUGGCCAUUUUUUUGUGCAAAUUAAUUUGACAGAGCUAUUUUAAAAUAAAUUUUUCAGGGCGCAUUUAGCAAAAAUCCCUAUAUAUAUAUUAUAUAUUCAUAUAGUAUAGUAUUUAGUUAUAUAUUAUAUGUAUAUAAUAUACGAGGAGAGAGAGAGAGGAGAUGAGAGGAUAUGUAGAGAGAGCCUGCUAUGUGUGGCUUUUUAAAAGCUUAUGCUCAUAUGUCACUAUGCUUGUUAUUGUUUUUAGUCGUAGAUUAGUCAUUGUUUGACUCAUGUUACGCCCUGUUAGAUUUAUACAUGUCACAACCACUUUCCUUACUCAACCGCUAAGGGUGGCGUGCCACUAUCAUCUGCUAACCACUUACAUUCCUUAAUCAUAAGGCGAAAAUUAUCAAGUCACGUAGUUUGUCAUGUAGUGUUUAGUUUGUGGUAUCCAAUGUUUGGGUACUUUUAAAUAGCAUAAGAGCUCAAUUCUAUAUUAUAUUAUUAUUAAUUAUAUAUAAUAUAUAUAGAGUCCGCUAUGGUGCUUGUAAACGUACCAAGCACUUACGUGCUUGUAAAUUUUUGCGUUAGGUCUCUGGCCCUUUGGAUCAUUUUACCUUGCCAGAUUUAUACUAUUCAACCAACCACCCACUCAUCCCUAGGGGGUCCCUACAUCAAUCCUAACCGUACAUCCUUUAAUCCAAGGGCCGAAAACUUACAAGCAUCAAUGACUUGGUACUUUUAAAAGCAUAGGAGCUCAAUUCUAUAUAUAUAUAUAUAUAUAUAUAUAUAUAUAUAUAUAUAUAUAACAAGUGUUUGUUUUUUGUUGGCGUAUUAGCCUAACAAUCCCACAUGGGAUAAUGUACAGAAGGUUUGAGGGCUAUAUAUGUAACUAACACUCUGGCAAUUUGGGCUUAAAUAUUUUGGGCCGGUGGUUUUAGCAUAAAAAGUUACAAAUGCUAGCGGACCUAAUCGUUACACAAGAAAUCGAAGCAGUUACUGACUGAAAAGUGUGGGGGAAUUAAGUGCUAUAAGGUACAAAGCGCUAUACCAUGUACAUGCUAGGAGACACCUCUAGAAUCUCACAUCAUCUAGUGGUCUUGCUCUACAUUAUUCGGUCAAACGAGGAUUUUAGGGACUAAGUGGGUACAGUUUGCAACACCCCAACGAUCCUCCAUCCAAUAACGUGGGAGAGUUUGAGGGCAAUAUAGUUGACUAGAUAUUAGUACAAGCAUCUUGGGCUUCAGCAAUUUUGGAUCAGUGGUUUAGACCCAACAUGUUGCUAAUGCUAGAGCACCGAGUCAUUAGAAUUGCUAAACAAACCCAAUAAAUGUAUAGAUUGCAAACAUCUGCCAUCCACAAACACACUUCAUCCCAUCGAAAUUUGUAUGAAAAAAAUAAAAACCAAAAGACGAGCAUGGUACCAAAAGAGCCUCAUAUUUUGAUGUUAUUGCUUCGCUAUACAAAAGAAGAAAUGUUAUUCCAAUGUAAAAUCCAAAGAAAAAUUUUAGCUUUCUUUUUUUCUCAAUCUGAUGUUAAGUAGCAGUCAAUAUUUAGUGGCACGACAAGCACUAGCCUUCCUUGCUUAUACCAUUUAAAGAGGUAAAAAGCUUUUUCUUGUUUUAAAGAGGUAAAAAGCUUUUUCUUGUUUCUUUUUUAUGCUUUUCGCAAUGAGCAUCAACAUCAUCCACCUUGUAUCAGAUUCAACUGAAGUAAAUUCCACAUCACAAUUAUUCUCCUUGUAUAGGACUUUGUUGAUCUCAUGAGUUUUAUGUGAAAUGAAUUGACUCUAGUGAGGAGCCAAAAAUAAUCAUUGUAAUUUUGUAACUUAAAACAGUGGAGACUUCAUUUACGAUUCUUUCCUACACUUUCCUUAAUUUGGUAAAUAAUGUAUGGAUCUUACCUGAUCUAUGCAGCAUUCCGAAGCUUUUGAUUUUACUACCUUUUUUUUUGUUUUUUUGGAACCUAAAACACAAUGUGAUUUCCCAUCUAUUUCAUAAAUAGGACAAAAAUACACCCUAUAAGAGCUCGCACCCUAACACAAUCCACUUCCCAAAAGCCAGCAGUUAACCCAAAAAAGCUAAUCUACGGAAAACAGAAAAGAUCCAAUGUCAAAAGCAGUAUACUCUCACUAUGGAAGUGUAUCACCAAAAACUCAUAGAAAGAAAGUGCGAAACAGAAAUUAACACUAAAAUGCCAAUCUUCUUCUGCAUUCACAUCAAGAGGCAGCUAGCAACUACCGUACUCACUGAUAAAUGCAAAGUGCAGGGAACCCAACAUCAUAAAAAGCCUGAAUCACGCACUAGAGUGGCAAAGAACAGCUUCCAAGAAAAGAUCCAUAGGAAGGAGUAUCACAUAAUCCUUCAGCAUACACUGGAGAUCAUCGCUCGUUAGACAGCCCACAGCUGGGGUAGGGCAGGCGGACAACCCGGAGAGGUGCAUCCACCAGGAAUAGGAAGAAUACAUUGUACCCUAAUAUAACAUAAUUUUUUGACAAUACAUUUGUCCAAAAAUGUAUCCCUACUAAAAUUUAACAGCAUAUUUUACUUUAUUGAUGAAGUACAUCGCAGCCUAGCUGAAAAAAAUCAUUGAAUUCUAAAAAGUUGACAAAAUUCUCUAAGAAAUAUUCAGAAAUCAAAAGAGGCAUGCCGUUAGAAGUACAAUCAAGAUUUUUGAAGUUCGAUAUAUUUUAGACUGACGCUAUACUUCAGGUAAGGUCUAUAAAGAUUUACCCCUUUUUGCUGCCCCAAAGCUACAGACUGGGGGUUCCUGUUGGCGGCCAAAUAUUGCCGGAUGUUAGGAACAUUGCCCCAAUACAGUAGAGGUUUGCUCAACAGUUGUUUUGAUAGCAGAGUACACAGGUAUAGUGAAGUGCAAAAUCGAAUAAGAUCAAAUCAGACAUUGCAGAACCUAAAUGCAGCUCUCUUAUUAGAACUUGGGAAGUCGACUUCUGUUCGUAAUUGACGAGGAGAUCGGUAUUGACGUAUGGGUAAGCAAAGAAGACGGAAAAUAAGCAGAAGAGAAGAGAAAGAUCGUACGUGCCCGGGACGGCGGCCUCCAUCCAUGGAGCGGAAGGGGGGAAGGACGGCGGUUGGGUGGUGGUCAGCUGGACGCCGGUGGCCGAUACUUCCGUCGAUCUCGCGGCCAGCCAUCCCGAGUCCAGCACCCUCUUCUCUCCCAUUUCCCCUCUCUCUCUCUCUCUCUCUCUCUCUCUCUCUCUCUCUCUCUCAGUGCAUUUGUGUUGGGGUUUGGGGGAAGGGAUUUAGAUGGACGCCUUCACCGGCGGAGUGGCUUGCGUAAGCAGUAAGCACGGAGCAUUAUUGCGGGCUUGUCAUUACGUGCGGAUAGGCGUGGAGACUGCGACAGAGGAUACCGAGGGCGGUAGCACGUACUUGUCUUCUCGCAAGCCAUCCCAAUGUGACUGCUCUGUUUAAUUUGUUGCCUGAGUUAAUUAUUCAUGGUGUUGUAAUAGGGUAACCGCAUCUAGCUUUCAGUAAUGUCUAAUUUUUCAAUUCUUUCGAUGUCAUCUAUUUGAUGUCUUCAUUUACUUUAUAUUUUACCAGUAAAAAUAAAUAGGACGUAUGACCCUUUUUUAUUUAAUUAUUUAAUCUUUAAAAGUUUUGAUAUUACUCUAAUCUUUUAACUCAUUUAAUUUGAAUUAUUUAGUGACUCUUAUAUUUUAUUUUAAAAUUUAAAAAUGUAUCAUUUAUUUUUACGGAUUUGAUUAGUAUAUUUCAUAUAAUUAUAAACUAUAAUUUUAUUAAGGUCAAUAAUAGGCUUAAAAUCUAUAUCUUCUAUAUCUUAACAUUAUUUCCCCUAAUCUUAUCACGUGGCAGCCUAUCUUUCACCCUCACUUGCCCCUCUUUUGAACCAAAUGGCUAAGCGGUCUCUUCGGCUUUCCUUUUCUGUAAUGUCUACCUCUUCGGCUUCCCAUCUUAUUAAUUUUUUUUCAUAACGUAUGUCUCUUCAACUUCCCAUCUCAUAAUUACUUCUUUGUAACGUCGCUACUUCGACUUCCCUCUCAUUAGUUUCUAUUUUCUAAGAAUCAUUGCCCGAGAAGCCUGUGGGCACGGCAAAUGGCGUUCUCGACAACGACCUCGCCUACUACGUCCGCUCCCCUCAAGCCCGCAAGCGCACCGCCCUCGCUCUCACCAUCAACGUCGAGUGAGUCGAACUCUAACCCCAGCCUCGAACCUUUUUCUCUCGAUGUCGACCACCUAUAUUUGUAAUGUAUAGGACUUGCCGAAAAAGGGUUGAAGGCGCUAUGAUAUUUCACGAAAGCAUCGGUGUUAGUAGAGAAUGCCCUAAAUGAAGAUACAAAGGGGUCCGAUUUCCAUAUAACACAUUUUUUUCUCCUAUAAUUUUUUUUUUCUUUUGUUAUUUUUUAUUAAAUUAUAAUUUUAUUCUAAAAGUUUUAAAGUAUUUUUUAUAUUAUUAAAUUUAAUCAAAUAUGAUUAUAUCCGCCGCAUCGCGCUGGUUCCUACAAUAGUUUAUAUUGAAAUAAGAUGCCUUGUAAUGUACUAAACUUUUGCAAAUUAGUAAGACUUUAUUAUCUAUACAAUCUAUAUAAUUUAUAAACUAUAAUUUUAUUAAGGUCAAUAAUAGACCUAAAAUUUAUAUUGGAAUCAGAUGGCUUGCAAUGUAUUGGACUUCUGCAAAUUAGUAAGACUCUAUUAUCUAUACAAUCUAUAUCUAUAUCUAUGUCAAUACAUUAUUUUUCCUAAAUUUGCCACAUGAUAAUAUUUCUUUCAUUGUUGGGUCUGGGCUUCACCCCGAAAUGGCUCAAGUUCUUCACAAAUAUAUAUUUUUUUCUUUCUUUAUUUGAACCAAAUCGGAUUUUUCUCUUUCCUUACUUUAACCAAACCGGGUUUUCCUUUUUUUUGCUUGAACCGAAUCGGGUCACACCUCUGCAUUAGGCUAAACUGUUCCUCUUCCACUUCCUUCGACUAUUACCUUCCUUCAUCGGCAAGAUAAAUCUCACCUCUUAUCACCACUUCUUUCAUCGUUGUUUUCUCUUUCUUUGUCGCCAUUUUUUAUUUUUUUCUCUAAUUAUUUACCCGUCACAUCACACGAAUUCCUACACUAGUACAUAAUAAUUUGAUGAUUUUUCAAUCCAUGUCUCGUUCUCCUCUUUGUUCUCUUCACGUGGUAGAUAAUUUUUCAAUCCAUGUCUCGUUCUCUUCUUUGUUCUCUUCACAUGGUGGCACUGGUGAUUCAAAAAAUUUUUCGAGUGGGUUCAAAUAUAUAAUAAAAAAAUAUAAAAAAAAUAAAAAGGUAAAUUAGUGAUAAAUAAUGUAUAAAUAAAUAGAUAAAUAGAAAAUUUAUUAUUUCUAUUUAUAACUAUUUUCAACGUAUUUUUAUAGUUUGAAAAUGAUUUAUAAUAGCAUUAUUGGUAGCACCAUAAGAUCCAUCUUUUUAUAUAUUUACUAGCCAAAAUUAUGAUAAAUAAAUUAUUUUCUUAUAAACCACAUAAAAUUAACAAUAUAUCAAUAGUUAAUAAAAAUAAUAAAAUAAAUCAAUAAUUAUUUUUCACAAAUAAUAAUAAUAACAAAUACGAUUAACUAAAAAUAAUUAAUAUACUAAUUAUACUUUUAUAUGUUACAACAGCCCAAAAUAACUACUACUCAUCAUAAUUUUUUAAAAAGUAUACUAAACCUAUCCUACUUGUUGACCUUGAUAGUGGCUAAGACUUAUGUGAAUAAGAAUUAUGCGGUUAGGAUCGGCCGAUAGUGGCCCACAGAAUCAGGGAUGUGGGCGAUAAUGGGGAAUAACUGAAUAAAUAAGGAACGAGACUAUAAAUAAACAGAAGAUGCCAAGCAUAGAUGUUUUUUUCCCCCGAGAACAAGAAGACUAAUUUAUUUUUCUACAUUUUUCGCUUACUAGGAGUAGUCUACUUGCAAACUUUUUUUCCUCUCCAUUUUUUAGUUUUUCUACGAGUUGUAAUAUCUAUGAAUCUUGAGGGACUAGAUUUAAAAUUUUAUUCUAACAUUAACUCUAAAUUGUAAUCCACCAGCGUUGGCAAUCUAAAAUUUAAAAAUACAUGUAUUAGUUGCAAUUAUUUUAAAAAUACAAUAAAUAUCAAAUAUAUAUGUUAUACUGGCAACCCAAAGGGCAAUAUGCUAUAUCGAACAUAGCUCCAACCCUAGUAGGUUGAUCAAUACGAAUAUGGCCCCACACUCAAAUCUAGAAAAUAAAUUACAAUAAAUUAUAUACCAACGCUUAAUAUAAUACCGAAAAUAUUAUAUAUUAUACCUGUAACAAUGUCACAAAGUAACAUCAUUUGUCAUUUCCUUUUAAUGAAGUCAUUCCUAACGCCCAAUAUAGAUAGGUCAAAGCUGCUGCACCGUAUGCUAAUCUGCUGCAUUCAUCAAAAUCUUUCAAAAGUGGAAGCCACUUAAGAUGAACUCUAUAUUCAAUGGGUUGGAAAACAAGCUACACCUAAUUUGAUAUAAUAUAUAGACUUGUACUGUAGCUGCAACUACUCCUGCAUAGGCAUAAAAAUGUAUAUGGUGGCAAUGCUGAUAUAACCACUCCAGUCUAAUUUGACCAGUCUUGAUGUCAUCUAGCACAUCUUCUAAAAGCAAUUGACAAAGAUCUUACCAUGCGUACAGUGUGGUACCAGUCAUGAAUAAACCAGUUGCACGAAGACCAGAAAUGAUCGCGACAUCCUGAAAUGUAAUCAUCAUCUCACCGUGGCAGAAGUGAAAAGUCUAUGUCUCCUGUAUCCAUCUAUCAACCAUAGUUCCUAAUAAAGCCCGAUCCAGCUACACACGCCUAAAGUAUGAUACAUAGUAGAAUCCAGCCUGUCGUAGAAGAUCGAGCACCGCUGGGUGGUCAAGAUUCCACUAGUUUUGCCACCAUGUUCUAUGAAUUGAACAGUAUGAUACUCCUACAGUAAAGACAAUGGAGUUAGAUCAUCAUUUCGACUUUUUAGUACUUUGAUAAACUUCUAAUUAAAAUAUUUGGAUAAAUUCCGACCUAUGAAGAUGCUGCUCCAUCAGCACCGAUGAAUCAACUGGUCUCGCGUCCUUUAGAUCCGUCUCAUUAAAUAUUGAAAGUUUUGCAGUUAGUAACAUAUUAGGUAAAAACUCAUUAAAUAUUAAAAGUUUUACAGUUAGUAACAUAUUAGGCAACAAGUCCUACGCCGGAGUCCUUGCUGCGUUCUCUCUGUAUUUUGUGGACAAGUGCUCCUAUAAUGCCCUUUUUAUUUACAAACGCUACAUUUUGUUUGUUGUCCUACUCUUUCAUCCAUUAUAUUGCAAAUAUAUAUAGAUCAUAGGAGACCUUUCUUUCUUCAACCAAAAGACGGCAUAAUUGGCGGGCCCUGGGGUCGUGGCCAGUGUCGUUUAUUUGGAACAUGGUGGAAUUGUGGUGCAUAUGUCUUGCGAUAGCAAUCAACACUGUACCAACGGAAACAAAAGAAUUCGGAUUGCUUGUUUUACAAGCCUUCUUGGAUCGUCCUUGUCUCGAUGCUUCUGGAUCUCCCACGUUUCUCGCCUUCUCCUUUGCGUACGCCUUACGCCACUGAUCGGAUACGGAUUUGAUGCGACGGAUGCCAAUCGAAGAGGGCUACCAGAGUCCUCUUCUAUAUCCACACUCCAAAACCCCGGAAACGUAGGUGGAAAUCCCAGAGAGGAAGAAAAGAGAGAAUAAUAGAAUAUUGAAUUAAUUCGAAUAUCAAUCGUUACAGAUGGGAGAAACAAGGGGACGUAUAUAUAGAAUAACGAAACCCCUAAAUAUCCUGAAUCUCAUAUAGAUUAGGAUAAGGAUUAGGAAAUCUAUUAACAUAUAAUAGAUAUCCACUAGUAGAUAUGUUUCUUAACUGAUAAGAAACAUAUAAUUUAUUCUUAUCCUAAACCCAUUAGGAUAAAUCACAAUCCACAUCUUAAGUGGAUCGGGUUAAAUCAAGACCCGCCAAUGUGGACACACCACAUGGCUACUGUUGUCCUACUCUUUCAUCCAUUAUAUUGCAAAUAUAUGUAGAUCAUAGGAGACCUUUCUUUCUUCAACCAAAAGACGGCAUAAUUGGCGGGCCCUGGGGUCGUGGCCAGUGUCGUUUAUUUGGAACAUGGUGGAAUUGUGGUGCAUAUGUCUUGCGAUAGCAAUCAACACUGUACAAACGGAAACAAAAAAUAUGAUAGUCUAUUCUUUCCUGUGAGUACUACAAACUGCUAAAAGAUGUGAGCAAGGUAUUUCAAUUAGUUAGAAUUAGCCACAAUCACAUUCCGCAUCUGUUUCAUUCACAACCACCUAAUAUGAAAAAUCUCCAGUAUUGACCUCAAUUUCCAUGAGCCCAAAUCGAUGGACAAUGUGUCCCCGCGCCAUCUCUAUAUCUGCUAUAAUAUUACUUUGUAUUUUAGGAGUUAACUUGCCUAUCAUAUUUUCACCAUCUUCAUGACACUGUAAGAAAUUCUUAUUAAGUUUAUAAAAUAUCACCGCGACAAAAGUUGUGAUAGGCAGAAUAUGUACUCUCUUAAGUACCCUAUUUAAGCUUUCUGACAUAUUUGUGGUCAUCAACCUGAAGCGUCGUUCUCCGUCAAAUGCUCAUGCCCAAUAAUCUUUGUGUUCUUUAAGAUCAUCCACCACCUUUUAGGCAUCAUGGUCCAACACAUCUAAUUCUUCCUUAAGCUUAAAAUACUUUGUCGAUGUUGAAGCACUUCCGACUGCAUAAAGUCUCAUUUUUAAAAUGCUUAUUCAUAUUUGCUUUCAUGUGUCGAAGACACCAUCGGUGUGCGUGACCCUAUCAUGGAGGAUUUAUCUCAACUACUAUUUUCUUCAAUCCACUAAAUCGAUCAGAUAUAAAGCAAAGUUCUCGAUUGCGCUAACGUAUUGACGCAAGUUAUCCAAAAACCAACGCGAACUCCCACCACUCUCUCCUUUGCAAAUUACAAAUGUAAAAAAAUAUAUGCCAUUAUUUGCAUCUAUAGCCAUAGCUAUCAAUGCAUGGCCUUCGUAUUUGUUAAAUAGAAGGUCUAGAUGACCAAAAAAUAUGACCAAACCGAUAAAUCCCAUUUGAUGGCCACCUAUGAUCAAGAUACCAUAAAGUACCAGAAUUACUUUUCUGCACUACAGUAAGAUAAUGAGGCAAGUCUGUGUAUGAUUGCUCCAAGCUCUUGUAAAUAAUCCGUAAUACUUUUACUCCUUGAGCCAAAUCUUCCAAUAGGUUAUGUCAACAUGCAAAGUGGAUCGCACUAUUUCUUAUAUUUUUUUAGCGUCAUAUUAAGUCUUGCCUUCAUUGUUGGGAGAAUAAUUUGACAUAUAAAACUUGAAAUGCAAUUAUAGUGCCAUGCAUUUAACAUUGGAAUUAUAUACGUGUGUUGACCAGCAUAUGUCUUAACUUUAAAGUACAUCACAUUUUUAGGAACUGAAGUGUGUAAUCUCCAAGGACAUCCCUUUACUGUGCAUUUUACUGUAAGUCAUUUUCGUAGAUUUCAAAACUUUCAUCUGAACAUUAUGAGUAAUAUGCCAUCGAUUUAAAGUGUCUAAUGAAGAUGCCUUCUCAUGAAAGAUCUGACCAACCCAAGUCUUGUCAAUGUUAAGUAGACCUGUAUUGAUUUGUCUAACAACAAACUUAGUAGAAUCCAUGAUAUACUAAUUUACCCAAAUGUUAUCUGCAAAAAAGUGCUCCGGAUAGUCAAUAAAUUCAAGUUCCUCAUUAGAAUUGUUUACAUAUUCAUUAUUUAUAUGUUGGUCGUCCUUCUCACUGUUAAUGGCAUUAGCAAGACAAUUCAACCCACUAUUGUAAUCAUCAUUAAUGUUUAGUGCUAGAUCAUUCCAUUCGUCGUCCUCACUGGUAUAAUUAUCGUCAUCGUCAUUAUGAAUAGGUGCAUCCUCAUGGUUACUAUCAUUAUCACCUCCCCCAUCCAAUAUUAGUAAAAAAAUUCAUUCCUAUGUUCGUAGGACAUAUAUAGAUUGCACAUUUUCCAAAACUUUACUACAUUAUGUACAAUUCUACAUACCAUUUGUAACACACUGAAUUUUAGCAUAUUGCAAGGUUCGAGUGUUUGAUUGGUGUUCUGAGCCUUUUUGGGUUUUCUGUAUGGUCGUUGACUGUGUUCCGACCUAUGACUCGCAUCCCGAGGAGUGAGGACGAGAAUUUGGCACUAAAAUCUUUAAAUUGCAGAUUUUAGGCAGCUCUCGGAUUGAACUCUACGAGGCUGAGUACCGGUACCGCAUUGCCCGAGUACCGGUACUGGAGCUGGUACCGGUACGCAGUGUAUUUUCUCGCUGACCCGAGGCUCGGGUUUGCGCGUGCUGCUGCUUGGUACCAGUACUCCAGCCCGUGUCACCGAUAAGCAGUGCAGUGCAGACUGUGCGUUGUUGAGAGGUAUUUUUGAGAUUGUUACAACUCUAUAUAACACUCCCACAGCCAUUGGAGAGCUCUUUUGAGCCCUAAUUCGUGGAGAGCACAGGUGAGAGCUUUCUCUCCCUUGGUUUUCUCUCAUUUCUAGUGAUUUUUGCUUGGUUUGAUCUCCUCUCUUUGCUCCUAUUUGCUUCAUGUUGGAUUUCCACCAUUGGAGAAGCUUUGGAGGUUGGAUUGGAGCUUGUUGGAAGAGAGAUCUUCAACCCUAGCUCAUUCCAAGCUUGAUUUGGAGCUUCAAGAGAGGUUAGUAGACUUGAUCUCUUCAUUGGAUCAAGUUUUAUGGGACUUUUGAGAUGAAAACCUAGUUUUGUAGAAACUAGGAUUUUGUUUGGGGCUUUUCAUUUGGAAGCUUUUGGUUUGGAAUUGAUGAGUGUAGAACACUCUUGUAGGUUGGAUUUGAAGCUUGGAAGCUUCGAUUUGAGCUUUGGACAAGUGUAGCAUGAUCAAAGGUAUUUUUCACCUUAUUGUGUGCGUGUGUUUGGAAGAUUUUCGAAGUAGUCGUUUUGGAGUUUUUAACCCUUUAGAAUUUCUCUUAGGGUGUUAGAAGUUGGGUGGACAACUUCGUUCGAAGGAACGAAAGGAUUCGAAGUGCUUCCGGUGGGUUUGACCUCACCGAAAUGGGUGAACUCCCCCUAUGUCUUUCUUUUGGUUUUAAGAUAUAAUUAGAUGCUUUUUCAUGUUCAAUAUAACAUGUUAGAAUUUAUGAAAACAUAAUAUGUACAUGUUAUGUAUAGUGAAAAUUUCAUGCUCUAUGUAGUAGAGGCGUAUUGUGGACUUGAGCAUAAAGUGACACUUCAUAAUGAACUCUCUUUUAUGCAACCUUAGAAAGUAUGUUAGAAUAUGAAUGAAGAUACACUCCUUGGAAGUUAACUAGUGAAUGGGUUAGAAAAGUGAUUAUUUCACAUGAUGAGCAAUAUACUUGUGUAGACAAGUAAUGUGACAUUGUGACUGAGUGAAUAACAAGGCUAAACAUGGAACUAAGCAUGUGGUACUUAACCUAGUGGAAUAACUAGGGCUUGACAUUAUGAUAUUGUAUUUGACUUAGAGAUUGAUAGCUACGCCCCAUGACUUUGACAUAUGAAAUAAAGGAGAAUUUGGCACUUAGUUGCAUGUUGAGGCAUACUUGUGGUAUACAAGGUAGAUAUGACAUUGUGAUGAAAGAGCACGUUAGGGUCAACAUGAGACUAUGUUUGAUGAAUCUCAUCUAGUGAAACAACUACUAUAUAACAUUGAGAUUGCAUUCGAUCUAGGGAUCGAUAGUUGCAUUCCAUGUGUGGGACAUGUGAUAUGAGCUUUGAACGCCCUUGGGCGAAUGAUAGGAGGAAAAAGUGCAUGUAAAUAUAAUAAUAUGAAAUCACUUGCAUGAUAGUUUAUCACUCCAAGUAGUGGAGGCAUUGGUAGAAAAGCAUGAGCAUGACAUGCAUCAUGAAUGUUUGAAUGCUUAAGGUAUAUGUGCUACGUGUUACAAUUAUAGUCUCUAUGUAAUAGAGAGAGAAUUGUAUAGUAAAUUUGCAUGUGAAAUGGCUUCUUUAUUUUAUGUUGGAAGUCUUGUUAUAUUUAGUAAAAUGACAAACUUUUACAAGCUCAUGAACCAAGGACAUGUGUUAAACAUAGAGAUCAUUAAUGUCUUAAAGUGGCAUUCGAUUUAGUAAUAGUUAACCUUUACACUAUGACAUAGAUCUAGACCUUUGGGUUGCUAGAAUUUAUACCAUGUUGGAGACAUGACGAUCGUAUAUUUGAGACGAUGAUCUUACUUGCUCGCCAAUUGUGCUCAUUUGCACAUACUUGUGAGUGUCGCUCCCCACAAGCCGGCACUCCGGAGUUAGCCUAUGCGACAUACGCCUACUCGGCCUGCGUGGGAUAGACUCAUUCAUCGAGUGGAAAUGUUGGAGCUACCAUGGGCAAUUAGGCAACACAAACCGGACUACACUUGUGUAAGUACUGGGCCCGCAUGGGAUAGACUCAUUCCUAAAGUGGGAAUGUUGGGGCUACCACUGUCACGCCCUGGACUUCAGCGGAAGCUCGCCAGUCACGUGCACAGACUCGCCGUGUACACCACAACCUUAAGUGUACACCAAGCGUCUACAAUCAACAUAACAAAAACACAAUAUUCUAACCAGGUGAUCAGAGCAACACUUAACAGUUUAUAAGCUUAUACAAAUACAGAACCUUAUAACAACUUAGAAACAAAGUACAAAGUACAUUCUACAUAACCUCACUAUACAACACUGAACCAAACUAAAAUAAACUUGUAGAGGUUCAUCUAUUUAACAUCAAGAAGGUUUUAGCUAGCCCUGACCACUCGCCAGGAACCCUAGCCUUUCCCGCUGUGGAAGGCUCUGCACAAAAGCAAUCAACAACUAUUAAACAAUAUUUCCCAGUAGGUAAGCUGCCGAGAGUGGCGAAGUACACCAUUAGGUCAACUGAGGCAUAAGUAAACAACAAUAAAUAAGCAAAGUAAACGCAACAAAUAAAUGAAAUAAUUCAACUAUAACACGCCUCAUUAAGAUAUGUUUUCUAACAUGUCUUAUAUGCUACUAAUCAGAUAUACAAGUUCUGUAUGUUAUGCUGGCUACCAGCUUGUUUAUCUUUAACUAUAUGUCAAUGUUAAAGCAGGAUUCCAAUAUUAUAAUUCAACAGAAUAAAAGUAUUAUAUAGCUACCUUUCUACACUAACAAGAGUAUAAUCAUACGGGUAAUGUCACUACUACUAAUGACUAACAGAAACGUCUGCCCUCUAGUAUGUUCAUUACUAGGUAUAUCUCAACUACUAACAUAAAGUAUUCUUACUACUAUGUCCAUCUAGGGUUAAACUCAUUACAGUAACCCAAUUAACAAGAGAUUUACACGUAGUAAAGUCUCGGCUCGUGCCGUACCUAAUGGCCCCGUGGUAGUAUAUACUCCCUAUAGUAAUCCACUUCGGCGCUCAGUCCCGUACAUAAGUGAGCAAUCUGUCGCGUAGGCCAACCCCAGAGUGCCGGCUUGUGGGGCGCGACCCUCACAUGCUGUGCGAAUGAGCACAUUAGCAAACAAGCGUAAUCCAUAGUAUAGGUAUCACAAGUUUAUCAUGUCUCUAACAUGGAAUCUCAACUCGACACAAAGUCAACAAUUAACACUAAGUCAUAAUGCACUAUCACUACUUGGUGACAGGUUUCUACCAAUAAAUAGCAUGACCUAAACAAAUACAUACUUUACAUCAUAUUGAUGAUUCUAACGGGCUAUACCCGCAUACUCACAUAUUGUUCUCUCACUACUCCCUAAAUAUAAAAAAAAAUGGUUUACUAAGGUCAUACUCGAUGACUCAUUCUAGUGUUCAUGUAACUCAUGGCACAUAUUCUAUAGUUUUACAUAAACCUCCACUACUUGGAGUAACAAGUAAUAUGCAAUUACUUCUCGUUGACUAUACAAGUGUAUCAUCAUAUCGAAUUCUAGUUAUUUAACUAGACAUAUUCAAUAGUAUAACCUUCAGGUUAUAUCAUAAUACCCAACUCUAGUUAUUUAACUAGAUCACCUAUAAGAACAUAAAAUUUAUGCUAUUUCUAUCAUGCGAGAACAAUACCCAACUUGUUAACACAAGUAAGCGAAACAUCAUAUAAGAUACUCUCUACAUGAUUUCUACAUAAUUCCUCUCACAAUAUACAUGUAUAUGUAUGCAGUCCUAUUCAUAUACUAUACUAGAAGUUCUGUCAUCAUGUCUACCACAUGGAAUGGCAUGAUUUAACUCAAAAAUACAGCAUUAUAAUACAUCAUUCACUUAGUUGUUCAACUGAGCUACAUGCCAUAUUCAUGGCUUUAUAUCCAUUCACUAGUGAAUGAUGGCUUUCUUAACUUGUCUACACAAGUAUACUAUCUUAUGUAAUGCAUGCUAGGCAAGCAAGUAAUCUCUAUAUGCAAAGCAUUUUCAUGAUUCUCCCCUACUAUAUAGAGGUUUUCUUUAAUCCAAUAAAAUAUGCAGAUUUCUGCGUGCACCAAUUCAUUCAAAUAUACAACAUAUAUUCAUAGGAAUAUGUAACAAUUCCCAAUUUCAUAAUGUCAAAGAAGACAUAGAAGGAAUUCACCCAUUUCGGUAAGGUCAAACCCACCAAAUCGCUGUCGACUCUUGUCGAUCCUGCAAACGAAGAUAAUCUGAAGCCUUCAAGCACCCUAGCAAUCGUUCUAAAAUCAGCUAGGAGUUUAACAUCAACUUCUAAUAAAACCUUACAUAAGUAUCUAGUUUAGGCAAGAAUCUCACCUAGGGUAGUAUCAAGGCUUACAUCCUCACUUCGGUUCAGGUUGGAACACCAAAACCAACCUUCGAAAACUCCCAAAUCUCACCCAAAAGGGAUCCAAUACCCUGCUGUGAACCUGCUAUGAACAUAUCCCCUAAAUUGCAUCAAUAUUACUACCUACACAUCCAACUUGAAAGGAGUUAGGUUACUCACCUUGUACAGCUCCAACUGAAGUUGAAGCACACCAAAACCAGUUCACAAGAGUCACCAAAAUACAGUUAUAAGGUCCACAUAACAUGCUGUGAGCAAUUCCCAAAAGCAUCAUUACUACUACCACUAAUACUAUUACUAUAGUAUCAAACUAGAUAGGGUAGUAGCUAAUAACCUUCCAAGGCUCCAAUUCAGUUCCUACUGAGUUAAGAUUGAAGAACAACAGCUAAAAUACUGCUUCUACAGCUCCUACAAGUCUCCCCCAACCUAGCUGGUAGCAAGAAACAAAGACGAGCUCAAACUUCACUACUAUAGCAUCAAACUAAAGAGCGGUUGAAUAGCUCACAUCACAAAGCUUCAACUCAGCUUCCUGCUGAGUUAGAGCUGGGAAACACAGCUAAACAAGUCUUCCCACACCUCAAAAGCAGCUCCACAAGUCACCAACCCAGCUAGCAACAAAAGAGAGGAAAGAAACUUGCUCAAAUCUUACUUUCUUACUCAAAAAUACCUCAAAACCCUAGAGAGAGAGAAAGAGAAGGGUUCAAACCCUGUUCUCUGAGCUCCAGCACACCUUAAGCUGCUGCAGGGAUCGAGCUGGGCAUAAAAGGAUAAGCUCAAUGGUGAAAUGACCAAAAUAGCCUCAGCCACGCUGCUGCUGUAUUGGGUACCGGUACUCGAGCAAGUUGGUACUGAUACUCAGUGCAAAAACCAGAAUUUCGCCGCUUCAAUGCGUUUUUGCUCUUCCGACCAUUUGAUCACUUCACUAACUUGCCGAAAACCUCUCGACAACCUCUCAAAAUAUGUGGAAUAGUUCCAAUUGCUAUUCCCAUACUUGAACUUCGUAAUUUGCUAAAGUUUAGUGUACUACAACCACGGGCAAUUAGGCGGCACAAGCCGGACUACACUAGUAUGGGUCCUUGAUUGAAAUUGGAAAAUGAUACCUAAAGUUUAAUGAGGAAACUACUACUAGAUAGUGCAUCUUAGUUGGACUAGUGGACAUACAUGAUAGUGCAUAUAGUGGACUUUAUAUUAGUCAUUCUUAGCAUUAACACUCUAGUGGUAGUAUAUUUAUAUCUAUAUUGAUUGGUAUAAAUGCAUGGUUAAAAUAGCAAAGAAUUGCAUAAUUACUCAUUGUAGCAUUAUGGAUAUAAUGAACAUGCAUGUAAACCAAUAUUGGCAUGUAGUUGAAUGUGCAUGUAAACGGACAUUGGCGUAUAAUUGGAUAAAUAAAAUUAGAAUAUCACAUACAUGAUGGCUAAUCCUUUAGUAGAGGCAUGACUAUGAAUUGAACAUGUUUAUUUUACUUGUCAUUUUUAUGUUGUUUACUUACCCUUAUAUAGCAUGCCUCAGUUAACCUAGUGGUGUAUUUCGCCACUCUCGGCGACUUACCCACUGGAAACUAUUGUUUAAUAGUUCUCACCCCCAUUUGUUGUUGGUUUUUAUUUCAGAGCCUUCCGCGGCAGGAGAGGCUAGGGAUCGUAGCAAGGGGUUAGCGACUAGCUAGAGCCCCUACGGAGAUAUAUUAGAUGGACUCGAUGUCAUCAUUCCCUUUUGUACUUAUGAAAAUGAUGUAUUAUGUAUUUGAUUUAAAGUGUCAAGCCCCGGAUUACUCGUUUUUUCUGACACGCCGACAAAUCCGCCGUAUACAAAGGAAUUUUUUCUGUAUACGAAGCGAUAGCUGUACCUAUACCUGUAAUCAUACAAUACUACAACCAGUAGUAUAGAGCUGCUAGAAGAGAAAACAUAUAUAAUAACAGAGGUCCACUAUACAUACAUCAUAUCCUGGUAUACAAAAGACUCGCUCCAGCGAGAAACAACAUCCGUAUGUAUAAGAACCUAAAAACUACAAUUAACUGUCGCUGGUAAAUCUCUAGUCUGCAGCAAAUGGAGAGGGUCUAGCUCGCAGCGCCCUUUCCACGAUCCGAAUCAGCAACAGCACCAACCGAAGAAGAAGGCUCUGCAAAAGGUUUAAACAACCGAGUGUGAGAACUACUAUAAAAAGUAGUCCUCAUUGGGUACCGCUAUCGACCUCAACGGCUCACCCACUAAGUUUACAGAUGUAAGCAGGGAUAGUAAGAAAAGCUGGAACAAAUCUACAGCUAUAUGCCACUAUACUAUCAUAAUCCAACACUAUCUGUCUGUAGAAAAAAAUACAAAAUCUGACCCAAUCUCACUAGGGACUGUAAACAUACUCGUCCCAGGGACUGUGAAUACACCCGUCCCACCUGUCGAAGCUAUACAGCUACCUCCAUGCUAAGCCGACCGUGGAGAGCAAGUCCAAUCAGGACACAACGACACCAACACAAACGCACAAAGUCCGACUCCUUAGUGGCACUCGUGGGCGCUACCUAACCGAGUAUGCAAGUGUGUCUCUGCCGAGCUCAAUCAGGCUCUCACAGGCUGUAAUCGACGCAGAUGGGUCAAACUGGUCUAACAACUAUAAAUCAUAUGCUCUCGGCACAAUCCAAUGCUAAAAACAGCAAAUCGGGUCCACCGUUAACCACAACAGCACCCAACAGUCCGGAACAGUCUGAACACUACUGUAUAAAUAAUCUCUGCAUCCCAGCAUGAGCGUAAUAUUAUUCUACACUAUUCUGAGUAUCCACCGCUCACAAACUACGACGAUACAAAUAAACUACGGCUCCUAGAGCUAAAUCUGGUAAUUUCAGAAUAUGACGGUAUAAUCGACAGUUUUCUCCUAAGUCAAUUUCAAGUCCAACAUGUAUACUUUAGCUAAUAUUCUAGGCUCCAAUUCAGAUUUUAAAUCAUGCAAAAUCACUGAUUUGAGCUAUUAAACAUGCUAAACGAAGCUAAAACACAUGCUGACAACAACUAGAUUUAGGAGAAAAUCCGAAAAUUCUGGUAAGCAUAUCAUUAACACACCUCGAAACGCUAAUCCACGACGGCGAGAAGUCGAAAGAAGGGAAAACACGCACUUGCCCGGCCUCCAACGGCACAACCGCGACACACGCACACUCGAACGGCCCUCCGGAUCGUCAUCGAAAAUCACCCGAAAUGGAGCCGCGAUCUUCCUCGAAUACGUUCAAGUUAAGAGAGAGAUGAACAUGAGAUUUAAAAUAAUCUCUCUUAGGUGGAUAACCAUGAGAGGAAGUAGGUGGUGUGGUUAUCCACACCCAAAAAAAUGACCAUUACAUCUCUCUACCAACUCAAAAUGAAGGAUACCACAUAAAGAUAUUGUUAGACUUUUGGAUUUAGUUGUUUACAUUCUGUAUAUCUUGUGAAUAUCUUUGUAAUAGAACAUUAGUGAUUUUAUAUUACUCGCUCUAAUAGUUUUGUUAGGACCUGAUCUUGUUCAUUCUUGUGUUAGUAGACUCCUUAUGUGCAUCAUGGUUGGUUGGUGUACACGGCGGGUCUGUGCACGUGUUCGGUGGCUUCCGCUGGGCUGGGGCAUGACACCAUUAAUAUAAAAAAUGAUGAAUUUUCUUAUAGUUUCAGUUGACAUUUUGGAUUUUGGACGGGAGGUCAUCUGUAGUACAUGGAAUGUUGCGUGUUCUGUACAAGAGGUCGUGGUUUGUCUAUGUUGGCCGUAAGUUGAGCAUAAGACGUCAUGGGUUGCACAGCAGGUGGAGACUAACAUUGUCUGUAAUAUUUAUAAUUUAGUAUUACUAAAAUAAUUAAUAAUUAAAGAGAACACUAACCAAAAUCUAUAGAUUUUACUCACUUUGUCAUCCUCAUGCUACCUUCAUUACUAAUAUUGUGAUCAUUGAUUGGAUAGUUUGAAAAAUCCACAUCGAUAUCAUUAUUAAGCAAUCUCAUGUAAUAGCCUUACGAUUGAUACCGUCUCCGAUGGAUAUAAAUCUUUUCGACGUAUACCGACAUACAUUCAUAAUAUUCAAAUAAUCCAAUCAUUUUAUCAAGUGUUUCAUCAUCUACUAUUUUAUGAGCUAUAUAUAUUCAUUCAAAACCUUGGGGUAUUGAAUUAUGAAUUUGGGAUGAAAUUCUUCUAUAGUACAAUUUGUUAAACGAUACAUUCUCGUCUCAAAAGUAUUAAAUAUCAUAUCUGAACGAUCGCGGUCAAUAUCUUUUAACCGCCGACAUAUUGCAGACUAUUCCCAUCCCUAACUAACUAUCCAUCCCAAUGAAAAAUUAGUGAUAUCAAUAAUUAUCCAUUUUAACUAUACGAAAGAAAUCUUUCAAAAUUAAUAUAAAAUAUUUAGUCAAAAUAAUACAAAAAUAUAGAGGAAGGAAAAAAGGGACCACCCAAGAUGCUCAUAAGCACGCAAGGAAGGUUUCUAUUGCUUGAAGUACCUCCAACAGUAAUAAGAGAGGGCGGUGGCCCACCCUCUAACUGCCACUCCCUUUACCCCCAACUUCUACUUCUCUUGCUCCCUCCACUAACCCACUACAGUCACCACAGCGCCCUGCAUAACCACUCAAUCCCUGCUGCUGCUACCGUCGUGCCCCAUACCAAAGCACCGCCAUACUCCCCACCGCCACCCCCCACUUCUUCCCCCCUCCCCGCCGUCAUGCAUGGAAUGUAGUGGGUUCUGCACAAGAGGUCAUAGUUUGUCUACGUGAGUCAUAGCUUACGCAUAAAAGGUCAUGGAUUACGAACAGGUGGAGACUAACUUUGUCUGCAGUAUUUAUAAUUUAAUAUUACCAAAAUAAUUAAUAAUUAAAGCUCACCAAAAUCUACAGAUUUUACUUAUUUUGUCAUCCUCAAACUAUCUUCGUUAUCAAUAUCGUGAUCAUCGAUUGGAUAGUCCAAAAACCCACAUCGAUAUCAUUUAUGAAGCAGUCUCACAUCAUAGCUUUACAAUUGAUACUGUAUCUCCAACAGAUGUAAAUCUUUCUCGAUGUAUACCGACAUAUCUUCACAAUAUUCAAACAAUCUAAUCAUUACCUCAAAUGAUUCAUUAUUUAUUGUUUCGUGAGCUAUAUAU
rnacentral:lncRNA from 1 species